AAUAAAGGAAGCUUUGUUGCUAGUGGGUAACUUCUCUAGUAGCUCUAGAAGUCUGGUUAACGAAAUUCCAAGAUAAAAAAGACGGGAGUGAAUAUUCUAUGGGCCGAAACCAUUAGUCACGGCCUUACUAGUUGGGCAAGCCGGCUGUUUCCCCCCAAGCAAUUAACGGUCUAACUGGCCCAGCCUCACAGGCCCGCGUCGCCCCGGUCCAGCGUUCCCCGGUUCCCCCCCACCUCCACCCGCCGGCGACGGCGCCCGCCGCGACCCGACGGUGCCCAGACGACUCCCCUCCGCCGCCGCCUAGGGAGGGGCUGCGACCAGCCGCGAACAGGUCUCGUCGUCGUACCCGCAUCGGUACGCCCUCUGUCCACUUUCACCGCCGCCCUCGGAGGUCAGGUCAAUCCCACUCUCGCCGUGCCGCUAGGUUCUCCGUGCCUUCAAAUCUCGAUCUAUUGUUUUUCUUGCCCCUAUGUUACAAUUAGCGGUGAAACGCAGCGAUUGUUUGGACCAAUCGAAUCGUGGAACAAAAUCUGACUAGUCAACCACUGAACCGAAUGCUCUUGCUCGCUGUAAGCCGUGUGUUGCAAUCGUACUGGCAUUUUCAACUGUCUUUUUUUCUUGUUCCCGUGAAAUGAAACAUUAUAAUGGUACCAUACAAAAAUUUUGAAGAAACCAUUAUUUUUCUCAACAUGAAUUUUUUUGAGUAAUUUUCUUAACGAUAACAUGUUUUACUAUACGGAUCCUGCCUUUUGACAAGGCUUUGGGUCGUUCAUUGCAGAAUUGGACUACCACUUGUGUGCCUUUAUUGAAUGGAAACUUCUAUUAGUGUAACUUGUAAGGUGUUACAUACUUCUGGCACCAUACUUAAUUUGGUAGGUAUAAGAAACACGCGAUGUAAUCACCAUGAGACCUUGCUGCAAACAUGCUUUUAAUAUCCAGUUCGUAUGUUUGGGUGUGUUAGGGGACCUUCCUGCUACUGUUAUUAAGAUUGUUUGUUAUUAUAGUGAAAAAGGGUAUAUUGUGCGCGGAGAAAAUUUUGAUGUAAUCAAGGCUUGAGAAUGAAAUGUGGUUGAAUGGAGCUGCUCCACAAUGUUGUUUUCAUUUCUUCAAUGUAAAACUAGUAUGGUCUCAAACUCUCAAUAUUAAUCUCUGGAAGAAGCAAUGGGAAGAAUGUGCUACAGUGCUAGAAUCAUCAUUUGAGAUGAGCCAUGGGAUUGUCCUAGUGACUAGCAUCCUUAUACUACUUGAGACUUGCACAACCAUGUAUAACUGGUACUGAAAAGGUUUUGGUCAUGUUGUAAGAUCAAUUUUCCAUUGAACCUUGGCUUCUUAAACUGCCAAGUUAACUUCUUAUAGACUGAAUUCGUGAAAAAAAGAAACCUCCUAUAGACUUAGGACACUAGUGCUCAAACUUCUAAACUCUAAGCUUGCAAGAAUGGGUCUUUUGUUUUUACUGUCAUUCGAUUCCUAAGAUUUUCUUUCUUACUGGGUGAAAUAUUCAACCGUACCAUGUUUAUUUCAGUGAAAAGAUCAUGUGCAGAACAGAUAUUGAGAAAGAAACAUAGAACUUGUUCUAAUUUAUGCUUAAACUAUGUUGGUGUUUUGUUUCCCAUGUCGAUUUCGAGGCUGAAAUAUACACUUCAGCUCAAAAUUUCAUUGUACUUCAGUGUUAUAUGCAUGGCUGGUUCGGAUCAGAUGAUUGACGAUAAGACCCUUACCCUCAUCUUACUGUUGUUUAGGCUCUGCCGUAGCCAUGGUGAAGUUCUGAGGCCAAGUGAUAACAGCUGCAAUAGGCUUCACUGCUUCAAGUAGACUCUUCUAAAAAUUAUGGAUAGAAUCACAUAGUAGUAACCAAACUAACCAAUAGAUGAGAUACCACAUACAACUAUUUUUAUCCUAGGAAAACAAUUUAUUUUAGGAAACUGAUAUUCUUGCUGGAGAGAUGAAGCCUUCAUAACAUCUGUGGCCCAUUGCUAGAGACGGUAUUAGCGGCCAUAACUUCCACAAUAUAGCUUUUGCUUCAGUAGGUAACCAUAUCUAAUUUCCAACACCAUUAUGUUGGUUCAUACAUAUAAUAAUCUUAAAAUAUGCUGGAGUAACACUAUGGAAGUGAACUGACAAAUGAAGAAGGAUCAGGAGGAGUGGGGACUGUGGGGACUGCAGCUGCUUCGUCAAGCAUUUGUGUCACUUUGAGCAUUGUAGGUCUCAUUGUUGGGUCCUCCUGGAGGCACCACAAUGCCACUGCCACAAACCUUUCCACCUUCAUCAAAUUGAGAAUUGCUUCAUCAUCACCCUCCACCAGAAAAUCAACCCUGCCGCACCUAUAACAGUCAUUUGCCCAGUCAGUCAGUAUUUUUUGAUCUUCUUCAGCCUCCAACUCAACAUUCCGCCGGCAACAGAUGAGCUCCAACAGGAUGACCCCAAAACUGUAAACAUCCACCUUGGCAGUGAUGCCAAUGCUCUUGAACCACUCAGGGGCUACGUAUCCUCGGGUGCCCCGGAUACCUGUAUUUGUUUGUGUCUGGUUUGUUCGGAGAAGUUUGGCUAAGCCAAAGUCUGAGAUCUUUGCUGUGAAGUUGCCAUCGAGAAGGAUGUUCUGGGGCUUUAUGUCACAAUGGAUAAUCUGUGUGCUGCAUUCCUCAUGUAAGUAUAGCAGCCCCCUUGCCACUCCAAGAGCAAGCUGAGCUCGAAGGUUCCACUCAAGCCUGACAUCACCAAAUAGGAAUUGAUUGAGUGAUCCAUUGGUCAUGAAUUCAUACACCAAUAGUCUUUCUUUUCCUUCAUUGCAGAAUCCUAGCAACCUAACCAAGUUCUUGUGGUGCGUCCGUCCAAUUGUCUGGACUUCAACGGUGAACUCUUUCUCUGUUUCAUGCUCAAGCUUGUCAAUUUUCUUAACCGCAAUGUAAGUGCCGAGAUCAUCUUGUAACUGGCCCUUGUACACAAUACCAGAGGCACCAGUGCCGAGUACCUCCUGGAAUCCGCUGGUUGCCUUCUCAAGCUCAGCAUAAGCGAAGGCUUUCAAGGGCAAUCCUAUAUUGUUUGAUGACUGCAGAGAUGGGAUUUCCUUUACGGUGAUAGUACAAUAAGUACCAAAAAGUAUAACAGAGGUCAGCAGAAUGUUAACUAGGACAGAGCUUCCCAAAAACAACGAACUUCCAAGGAUCCAGUUCUUCUUGUCUUCCUUCCAUUUGUUGGAACCAACAAGCUCAGCUUGUGUACUGUUGUUCUUCCGUACCUUGACGAAAAGUGUCCUCUCCACAUUAUCUCCCAUCUUGCCAUUUGACAAAGGCAUCUUCUUCUUCCAACAUGUAUUAUCUUGGUCAUGGAAGACAGCAACGGCACAGAAACAAUCUGUCAGACAGAGUUGCUGGCACUGAUCCUUAGUUAUGGGGCUGUACUCCUCAUAGUCAGCUAGAGGCCAAUCCACACUGUUCAUCGGUAUCAACUUAAACUGCAUACUGGCAGCUGCUUCAUCCAAGUCACAACUUUGUGGCUGGAAGUCAGGUUUGCAGCCUUUAUACUUCCUCUCCUCAUCAAUAAACGAAUACUGCUCUGGGCACAGGCAAAUACUCUGGUUGUUUCUGCCAUUGAAUGUGCAGUAACUGUUAAACCCACAAAUGCCGCUUCCAUCAUUUGUCAGUUGUGCGUCACAGAUAUUUGGGGGCUUGAAGUCCACUACUGACCAUGCUUGACUACUCAGGUUGCUGACCUUCUUCGGGCACCGAUAUUGCCUGAACACACCAUCUGGGUCAAGUGUAGCACGAUGAUAGUAGUCUAACAUGGAACCGGUGACCCCAGAUGUCACACUGAUCUGUGUUCCGUUAUCCAAGGUGAUGUAUACCAUGCCAGUCGCAUUGAACACCAGCUUUGUGGUGUUCCCAGCCAUGGACCAGUAGUAGUCAUACAUCUUACCGGAGGGUACAGCAACGGUAUAAAGAAAAACACCAAUACUUUGCAGGUCAAGGAGGAACCGGCCAUUGGAGUAGUCUGUGGGGAUGAUUCGGCUGCGGAGCUUCAUUCCUGGAGUGAGCACCUGAGUAGGCAGGAUGGUAUCUGCUGGGUUAUUGAAGGUCCCCCACUUGGUAGAGCCAUCUGCAGCAGCCAGUACGAAGUUUCCGGUAUUGAGCAUGGCAGCGUAUACUGCACCCACAACUCUCGGAUUCCAUACCUCUGUUCCAGUGGGAUCCUGGAGCGAGAGCGCCCCAUUUGAGUUGAGCAGGAGCUGGGAACCGGAUGAAACAUGUACCAGCACUGGAUCUGGAUCAUUGGUCUUGGCAUACCAAACCACCGUCUUAUCACUGGUCUUGUCGAACCAGACAGCAAGCAGAUAGGAGGAGGUGUUACCCUCGAUGGGCCGGAAGCCGAACGCGAAGUCGCCAGACGGCGAGAGCCAAAAGCUGCUAGGCCCUUCAGGUGUCAAGGAGGAGCCUAAGGUUAUGUUCUGUUGAGCUUGAAGGGAAGUAGAGGACAGCAGCAGGAGCAAGGACAAGAGGAGGAGAGGUGCCAUGGUUCGUUUGAUUUGGCUCUCAGUUCUUACAUCUGACGGCAAACUUAUGCAUCUCUUGGUUUUCGGAGUCUUCGUUGACUUGGCUUGACAAUCGAUGGGUCAUCGGAACCAUCAUGUGGUGUAACAGUAGGCAGCUUUGAACUGGUCAAUCAUGGCAGUUGGCUGCUCCACGAGCAUGGGUCCUUGUCUGUGUGACUACUCUUUGCUAGACUUAUAGUGACUACAUUAUUGAAGUUUGAAAGUGUUCCAACGUGUUGGAAGUGUUCCAAGGUGCUCCUCUUCUGAGCCAAACUUUUCACAUGCCUGCAAGUUCUACAGAAGAGAAGACAUAUAUUUCGUAGGGUUGUACUGACGGUUGCGUGAAGGCAGGUCCCAAGUUCUUCUCUCGCCUAGAUACUUCCAGUUAUUCGUAAGUUUUUCAGAAGUAUAGUCAUGGUCACUACUUACUACCAGUCAAGCCAGCUGAAUUUAGUACGAGAUUAUACAUGUGGGAUCAUGCUACGUGCCUUAUUUCACUUAGACUGGUGAUCAGAUUGGAACAAGGAGGUUGAAAUUAUUCAAGAGGAAUGUUUGGUUACUUUUGGCCAGUUUCCUGGAUAUUUUUAUUAUGUGUUUCAUUGCGACAAAAGUUUAUUGGACGUUUCCGUGAAUUAGCUGUUUUGUGAAUUUUCUGUAGAACAUAAUAAGACAUUUAUUGAAGACUGAUAGUUUUCAUUGUUGUUUAUGAGCAGGAAUAAAUGGAGUCCACAAUUACUUGUCAGACAUUGACUGGGACGUUCAUUUUUCAUGGUUCUUGUGAUCUAGCUGGCCGGCCGGCCCGGCAGGAUUAACGCGCUGGCAGCUGAAAGGAACUUGUACCAGCACCCCGCGUUGCCUAGUCAACACGUUGUACCAUCAGAAGAGUGGUUUUCAGUGGUUCUGCUUCUGCCAACAGCGGCUGAAUGAAGCCUAUCCUAAUCUUAGGCUAUGGAGUCUGUUUAGCUCAGUUGUGGAUAUUGGUGUAUGUUAAAGCUACCUGAAUUUUAGUCGUCUUCGAUGCAAAUUUGGGUACACGUUUUUACCAAAAUGUAGCUACAGAUAUAGUAUGUGUUCGAUUUUUUUCAUUCUAGCUUUGGUUGGUUGUGGUUCCUCGUCAUCCUACAUUUGUUGCUCAUCUCUAUUUUUCGUCAAACCUCGGGUUGAUCGUAGUUCCUCUUCUAGGCGCUUCAUUUUUUUUUUUUUGGCUAACCAUGUGGUGAUGAUGACGUGGAUUCGCCUGGAGAAAUGUUUUAUCUUUUUUUGAAUGCUGAUGGUGGAUCCUCCGAGACUUCAAAUUGCACCUCAAUCUGAAAUGGAGAUUUCGACAGCCCCGAUUGCAUGUGACAUGUCUUCCACUAAAAAAGUGGACUUGCAUUUGGCCGAGUUUUUUCCACGUGGCUCGCUGGCAUGAAGGAACAAGUGAGCGGAAAGUACUAGAAGAAGGCAUUAUUUGAUUGUUCAUCUGGCUGCUGAAAAAAAAUUGAAGUGACACUGACAGGUGGGUCCCGUAGACACAUCCCCAGGGGGAAAAAGGGGAGAGAAAAUCCCACCGCAGGGCGCAGGCCACGCCUUCCGCUUGACCGCUUCCACUCCGCCAAGCGGCUGCCGGUGUGGUCUCUCUCCCCGGACGGUUCCGCCUCGCCCGCUUCAGCCAGCCGCUGCCAGGGGUCUCCGCAUCCGACUUCACCUCCGUGUCGACGCUGAUGGUUCUCCCCGUCAAGGUCAAGUGCCCCGCUUGGUGCCAAUGCCACUCAAUUUUGAUUGGUUUAAAUUGGUUCCAGAUUUGUUUUGUGGAAUGCCUAAGCGUAGCACCGUCUUUUUCUGUGUAAUCUGCUGCUAGUGAUUGCCAAUCAUGGUGUCCGAAAUCUGCGAUUGCACUUAGGGCCCGUUUGUUUGGAUUAGGGGGUAUUUCAUUGCAAUGCGUUUGUAUCUACUUCAGAACUCCCCAGAUAUGCUCAUGGUGCAUCCACCCGCGCAUUUUCCUGUAAUUUUCUGUUGCCAUGAAUCUCUUUCACUAAUUUGAAGGUACAAUUCGAAGGCAUUCAAUUUCGAUUAUUCACCAGCACACGCCUCGCACUGCUAGUGGGGGUAGACUGAUAUCAUAAACUUUUACCCGUAAAUGCAUAUAGUGGCAAAACUACCUGCCAUGAUUCCAGACGUACUCAAACAUAGUAGCAAUCGUCACUCGAUUUUAUUGAUGCAUUUCCCAUAUAUAAUAUUUUUUCCAUUUGUUUGUCAUGACUUUAAUUUGUUAUAUUUAGUCCUUCACGAAAUACAUGCCAUUUUCCAAUUUCUAAUGUAAAAGAUGUUUGGUUACAUAUACACAUCUGCACUUAUGGAUGAUUAGGAUUCAACUUUUUUUUCCAGCUAGACAUAUGAGUGCUAGGGUACCAUUGUUCCUAAUGCUUUAAUAAACAGCUAUGAGUCCCUUUAGGUGGCUGGUUUAAUUUGUGAACACGCCAGCUUAUUUCAGCAGCUGGUGGGAUCAAAGCUAGCUUAAACAUGCAACAAUAGUUAUCAUUAAGUAUUUACAGGCCAAAAUGGGCAAAAAGUUAUUUGUGUGUCUCAUUUAUUUAUCGGAAAAGGUCCAAUUUACUACGCAAAACUAAUUUUAUGGAAAUAAAUAUUCUUAAUUGCAAUGCUAAAGCCUUCCUAACAUUAUCUAUAGCCCAUUGCUGCCGAACGCAGGUACUGUUCACACAAUAAUAAUCAGCUUAAACAGUACUGCUGUAAAGUGGCCAUAGUGUUAAUAACAUUCAGUAUAUAUUCCCCUAACAAAAUAUCAUUCAGUAUAUAGCCAUAUCCAUUUUCUUACACCUCUAUGUUGGUUCAUACACAUAUUAAUGUUACAAUGUGCAGGAGGGAUGCCGGACACUAUGGAAGUGAUUGGACAAAGGAAGAAGAAUCAGGAGGAGUGGGGAUAGCAGCUGCUCCAUCAAGCAUUUGUGUCACCUUCAGCAUUGUAGGUCUCAUAGUAGGGUCCUCCUGGAGACACCACAAUGCCACAGCCACAUACCUUUCUACCUUCUUCAAAUCGAAAAUUGCUUCGUCAUCACCGUCAACCAGAAAAUCAACUCUGCCGCACCUAUAACAGUCAUUUGUCCAGUACGUCAGGAUUUUUUUAUCCUCUUCUGCCAUCUCAGACUCAACAUUUCGUCGACAACAGAUGAGCUCCAAAAGGAUGACACCAAAGCUGUAAACAUCCACCUUUGCAGUGAUACCAGUGCUCUUGAACCACUCAGGGGCAACGUAUCCUCGGGUACCCCGGAUCCCUGUAAUUGUUUGUGUCUGGUUAGUUCGGAGGAGUUUGGCUAAGCCGAAGUCUGAGAUCUUUGCUGUGAAGUUGCCAUCGAGAAGGAUGUUCUGGGGCUUUAUGUCACAAUGGAUAAUCUGUGUGCUGCAUUCCUCAUGUAAGUAUAGCAACCCCCUUGCCACUCCAAGAGCAAGCUGAGCUCGAAGGUUCCACUCAAGCCUGACAUCACCAAAUAGGAAUUGAUUGAGUGAUCCAUUGGUCAUGAAUUCAUACACCAAUAGUCUUUCUUUUCCUUCAUUGCAGAAUCCUAGCAACCUAACCAAGUUCUUGUGGUGCGUCCGUCCAAUUGUCUGGACUUCAACGGUGAACUCUUUCUCUGUUUCAUGCUCAAGCUUGUCAAUUUUCUUAACCGCAAUGUAAGUGCCGAGAUCAUCUUGUAACUGGCCCUUGUACACAAUACCAGAGGCACCAGUGCCAAGUACCUCCUGGAAUCCGCUGGUUGCCUUCUCAAGCUCAGCAUAAUUGAAGGCUUUCAGGGGCAAUCCUACAUUGUUUGACGACUGCACGGAUGGGAUUUCCUUUAUGGUGAUAGUACAGUAAGUACCGAAGAGUAUAACAGAGAUCAGGACAAUGUUCAGCAAGACAGAGCUUCCUAGAAACAAUGAACUUCCAAGGAUCCAGUGCUUCUUAUCUUUCUUCCAUCUGUUGGAAUCAAGAAGCUCAGGUUGUUGACUGUUGUUCUUUGGUACCUUGAUGUAAACUGUCCUCUGCACAGUAUCCCCUACAACGUUAUUUGUUAAAGGCAUCUUCUUCUUCCAACAUGUAUUGUCACUAUCACGAAACACAGCAACAGCACAUAAACAAUCCGUCAGGCAGAGCUGCUGGCACUGGUCGUUAGGUAUGUUGUCGUGCUGCUCAUAGUCACAUUGAGGCCAAUCCACAUUGCUCAUUGUUACGAACUUAAACUGCUCUGUGGCACCUGCUUCAUCGAAGUCACAACUUUGUGGCUGGAAAUCAGGCUUGCAGCCUUUACUCUCACCAAUAAAUGAGUACUGUGGGAGGCACACGCAGGUAGUCUGGUUGUUUAAGACAUCCACAUUGCUGUAACUGUUGAAACCGCACGUUCCACUGCUGACCUGUGUCUCUGCUGCUGACCUUCUUGGGACAUAUUUAUUUGUAGCUUUGAAGUCGACUACUGACCAUGCCUGAGUGUACAGGUUGCUGAACUUCUUGGGAUACAUAUAUUGCCGGAAAACACCAUCUGGAUCAAGUGUGGCACGAUGGUAGUAGUCCGCUGUGGAGCUGAUCUUCCCAGAUGUGAUUUUUAUUUGUGUUCCAUUAUCCAAGGUGAUGUAUAUCAUGCCAGUCACAUUGAAUACCAAAUUUGUGGUGUUCCCAGGCAUGGACCAAUUAUAUUCAUGUUGAGGACUGGAUGGCACAGCAACAGCAUAGAAGAAAACACCAUUAUUUUGCAGGUUAAGGUGGAACCGGCCAUUGGAGUAGUCUGUGGCAAUGAUCCGGCUGUGGAGCUUGGUUUCAGGGGUGAGCACCUGAGUGAGCAGAAUGGUAUCUGCUGGGUUAUCGAAGGUCCCCCACUUGGUAGAGCCAUCUGCUGCAGCCAGUAUGAAGUUUCCAGUAUCGAGCAUGGCAGCGUAGGCUGCACCCACAACUUGGGGAUUCCAUACCUCUGUGCCAGUAGGGUCCUGGAGUGAGAGAGCUCCAUUGGAGGUGAGCUGGAGGCAUGAACCGGAUGAAACUUGUACCAGUGAUGAAUCUGGAUCAGCGGUCCUGGCAUACCAUGCCACUGUCUUGUCACUGAUCUUGUUGAACCAGACGGUGAGCAAGUAGGAGGAGGUGUUGCCCUCGAUGGGCCGGAAGCCGAAGGCAAAGUCACCAUAAGAGGAGAGCCAAAAGCUGUUAGGCCCUUGGGGUGUUAAGGAGGAGCCCAAGGUGAUUUUCUGUUGAGCUUGCACAUAUGGUGAGGACAGUAGCAGGAGGAAGGGCAAGAGGAGGAGAGGCGCCAUUGAUUAUUAUUAUGGUUUGGCUGCCAUUUCUUGCUUCUGAUGGCAACUUAUAUAUCCUGUGGCAUCAAUGAGUCUUCGUUGACUUGACCUGACAGUUGAUGGGUCAUCAGUAACCUUCACGAGGGGUAACAGUAAGCAUCUUUGAACCAGUCAAUCGUGACAGUUGGCUGCUCCAGAUGCAUGGGAUUUGGUUUUGGAAGUUUGCAUGCGUUCUAUGGUGCUCCUUUUACGGUCAAGCUGGAUUUUUUUUCACAUGCUUGCGAGUUCAACAGUAGUGAAGACAGAUUUUUCUUGUGGUUACAUUGACGGUUGCGUGAAGGCAAGUGCACAAUGACUAUUUGUACAUAAGGUCCCAAAUUCUUACCUAUUCCCUGGAUGCGACCAGUUAUUAUUCUGCAGUUUUUCAGAAGAAGACUAAUGGUAACUACUUAAUAGUUACUACCAGACUAGCAGUCAAGCCAGCUGAAAUUAGUAUAAGAUUAUAUCAUGAGGGUCAUGGGAAGUUUCUGAUUUACCUAUUCCCUAGAGUACUAGCGAUCAGAUUGGAACGAGGAGGUUGAAAUUCUACAAGAGAAAAAUUUGGUUACUUUUGCCCAAUUUCCUGGAUAUUUCUAUUAUGUUUUUCGUUUCCGAGAAAUGCUUUCUAGAAGUUUCUGUGAAUACAUUGUUUUCUGAAUUUUCUUUGAACAUAUGCUGUCUUUAUAAGGCAUGUGUUUGAAGACUGAUAAUUUGUCGUUUGUUAAAUUUAUGAGCAGUGAAUGCAUUGUUUUCUGAAUUUUCUUUGAACAUAUGCUGUCUUUAUAAGGCAUGUGUCUGAAGAUUGAUAAUUUGUCGUUUGUUAAUUACUUGUGGAGCAUUGACUUAUUGUGACUUGCGAGUGAUCCAGCUGGGUGGCCUUGUUGGUGCUGGGGUUUGUACGAGCCACGUAUUAUUGAAUCCUAAUCGAUUCUUAUGGACCCAUGCUUUUUUAUUAACUAAAAUGUAGCUAUGAUUUCUCUUUUCCUUUUCCUAAACUUAGAUAGAUACUGUAGUUCCUCUCUUACAGUCUUAUUAUGCACUCCAUAUUCUUUUUGUAAUGGUGGAUCCUCCUAUGUAUAUGUUUCACCAAUUUAACUUGGUAAUGUUAGAUCGAUGCAGAGCUACUUUUGCAUCAUCAGUAAGCAAUACGUUUUCUCACUAAAGAAAUAAGUGGGCUUUAAUUUAAAGUGAACCUUUUAUACAGAGGUUUUGAUAUUAGAUGAACUUUUAUGAUGAUUAAUAUAACUAAAUUGAAAAAUCGAAGUGUUUUCUAAAAUUUUCAGAUACACAGGACCAGAAUUUUGAAAUAAUGAUUUUAGGUUUUGCUUCAACUAUAAAUCUAAAUUUUAAUAUUUUAUUUUGGAAGAAAAAGAAUACAAAUUAUUUGCCUCGAAGUUUCUUGUUUGUCUAGUUAACCUCCUAUUCUUUUAAUUAAGUUUAUUACCCCUUUAACUACUAAUAAAUAAAAGUAAAUAGUAUCUCUAGGGGCAUUUGGUACCUUCCCUGUGAAAGUAACACUUUUAGUUGAAAUUAUGCGAUGUAUGGGUGAUGGCAUCAUAUCCCAAACAAUGAUUUUAUUUCAUAGAUCAUAAUGACUGUUUGUAGAUAUGUAGAGCAUUCGGAACCACGAGUAUAAGAGAGAUUUUAGAGUGCUUGAAAAAAAAUAAGAGAGCUGUCUAUUAGAAAUCGAACCUUGGAAACAAAGGAAGUACCAUGAAGUACAUAAGUACCAAUUUGGUGGGACCAAGUAGCCAAAAUGGUAGGACCAACAAUCAAUUUAAUUUAUUUUUUUAUAAUUUAAAAAUUAAAGCACUGUAAAGAGCUUGUAUCUCCAAGUACCUCAUGGUACCUGAUGGUACUUUAAAUGCACUGUAAAAGAGCUUGUAUAAUAAUAUGAAAAAUCGCAUGGUGGUUGUAUAAAAAUGGAGAACUAAGUUAUGUUUUUGUGUUUUGGGGAGGUAGUUGCGCCCGUCCGAUGAGGAUCAAAUGUUGUGUGUCUCACUAAUCCAACUAUUUUUUUCGUGGUAGGUGUCAUGCCAAUCGACAUGAUACGCCUGUGGUAAAUACGUCAAUAUCAAAACAACUGGCCCAUUUUCCUAUAGACGUUCAUAGGACCGUGUAUGCACACGUGUGGUGAUGUAUGUGUGUGUGAGAGUAUAGGUUUGUACUAUGUUUCAAUGAACGAAUAACAGCAUAUGCUUUACAACAUAGAGAAUAAUGCCAUCAUAUGAUUUAACUUCUAUUUUAAUUACAAAAAUUAACCGUGGAUGAAGUGAUCCUUUUUUAAUAGUUUUGGGAGAUAAAAUCCAAAAGUAUUCCAGGAGAUAUCCGAGGAAUAUUAAAAAAAAUCAGAUGCCACGUGGCUACACCCCGUUCACCUCAUCUACCACGCAGCAGAUAGUGUUCUCGUGGGUCUUCCAUUUGUUUUGUUCCCCAUCGCAGUCUUCAGCUGCUGUGCGUGUGGGCGCUCCGGGAGGAAGGCCCAGAUGUGGAGGAAGAGGAGGAGGAUGAUAACGAAGAUGUCGUCUGGCAGCACAUAGCGGUGGCCUCGCUGGCUUCUCAGCAUCGAAGGAGUGGCUUUGCACGCUUGGACCUGGCCGUGAUCCUGCCAGCCAUCGCUCUGGCCCAUGGAGAGGGUCAUGGACUCAUGGAGGUGAUGGCCAUGCAUGGCAGAGCUGCUCAGGGCCAAAGGGGAGGAGCAGGAGAUGCUUGAGUGUCUCGUGCUCGUUUUGCUCCUGUCCUUGAUCCACGGAGGAGAUGCUUGCGGAUAGGUCCUAGGAGGACAUGCCAGCGACAAGGAAGCAGUUCUAUACUAUUGGGUUACAUAUUGCUCGUGUAAGUACAGUUCUAUACCGUUACCAUACAGCUCCAAUGCAGAUUUACAUAAAUGUUUUUUCACUAACUAUUUAUCUGCAAUGCAGAUUUGCAUAAAUUAUGGAAAAUGAAACUGCACUACCCUUUAUCUCCAGAUGUAGAGAGUUUACAGCUUCACUGAAAAAUGUAACAGCAAUUUGCUUGAAAAUUAUUCUUCUGAUGAUGCCAAAUCAAACGUACUUCCAAAUUACAAAUCAGAUAAAGUACAAACCAGUUAUAUAGCCAAAGUGUACAAUAUGGAUGUUCCUUCAGCUCAUUACCGACGCAUUUCAUCUUGGAACAGAUUAGACUGAUGCUGGCGGUGGAGCUGAAUAUGCUGAUUGAUUACCUUGAACAGACAGUACUAGAUAUGCACUGAAGAAAUUGUAAUCCAUGCAAGUUUCUACAGUCAUUGUACCUUCCAGUACCUUAACUACCGUUGACAUUGAUGGCCUUCGGCUGCUAUCAUUUUGUAAGCACCACAUUCCAAGCCUCAUCAUCUGAAUAACUUCAUCCUUGUGCAGGACCAUAUCAUCACAUUGCUUGUCAAUCAUAUCAAUCAGCAGGUUCUUUUGAGCCUUUUCUCGUAACAAAUUGAUCAGAUAGAUGCUUUCCUCAGGCUCAGAAUUGUCGAUGUUUUUUCUUCCACAUAUUACUUCCAUGACAACAACUCCAAAGCUGUAGAUAUCAACUUUUUCAGUGAUCUGCGACGUUAACCAUUCAGGUGCCAUAUACCCAGGUGUGCCUCUCAUCACAGUCACUACUUGGCUUUGAUCCCUGUCAAUGAGCUUGGAUAAUCCAAAAUCUGCCAAUUUAGCAUUGAAGUUCUCGUCUAACAAAAUAUUUUGUGGUUUGACGUCCAAAUGAGCAAUUUUCCGUCGACACUCCUCGUGAAGAUAACAUAGUCCCUUGGCAAUAUCCAGAAUGAUCCUACACCUGGUGCCCCAAUCAAGAGGGGCAUUAUUGUGGCGGUAAUAGAUCCACUGAUCAAGGGAACUUCUAGGCAUAUAUUCAUAUACUAGAAUUCUAUGUGCUUUCUCUACACAGAAUCCUAACAGUCUAACAAGAUUGAUGUGCUCAAUGCUACCAAUCGUCUCCACCUCUGCCAAGAAUUCUUUCUUCCCUUGUCUAGCACUUUCCAAGCAUUUCACUGCGACUCUGUCUUCAUUCAAUUUCCCUUCAAAAACUGAACCAAAUCCACCUUCCCCGAUCUUUUGACUGAAGUCUCUGGUGCAUUCUCUCAACUUUUCAUAAGAAAACCUCAUUGGCAUGCCCGACAAUUGAUCAACAUCAAAUUCUUCAGCUAUAUCUUGAUACUUCCUCCUUCGCACAUAAAGAGUGACAACAAUUAGAACAAAUACAAUACCUGUAAUACCGCUAAUUACAGCGCCCAAAAUUCCCUUCGUUUUGUUUGCUGUAGUUGCAGAAGGAGAGGGGUUAAGCUGUGGCUUGAGAUUAGAAGUGUUCCUUAGUACCUUGAUGAAAAGUGUCCUCUCCACAUUAUCUCCCAUCUUGCCAUUUGACAAAGGCAUCUUCUUCUUCCAACAUGUAUUAUCUUGGUCACGGAAGACAGCAACGGGACAAAAACAAUCUGCCAGACAGAGUUGCUGGCACCGAUCCUUAGUUAUGGGGCUGUACUCCUCAUGGUCAGCUAGAGGCCAAUCCACAUUGUUCAUCGGUAUCAUCUUAAACUGCAUACUGGCAGCUGCUUCAUCCAAGUCACAACUUUGUGGCUGGAAGUCAGGUUUGCAGCCUUUAUACUUCCUCUCCUCAUCAAUAAACGAGUACUGCUCUGGGCACAGGCAAAUACUCUGGUUGUUUGUGCCAUUGAACGUGCAGUAACUGUUAAACCCACAAAUGCCGCUUCCAUCAUUUGUCAGUUGUGAGUCACAGAUAUUUGGGGGCUUGAAGUCCACUACUGACCAUGGUUGACUACUCAGGUUGCUGAACUUCUUCGGGCACCGAUAUUGCCUGAACACACCAUCUGGGUCAAGUGUAGCACGAUGAUAGUAGUCUAACAUGGAACCGGUGACCCCAGAUGUCACACUGAUCUGUGUCCCGUUAUCCAAGAUGAUGUAUACCAUGCCAGUCGCAUUGAACACCAGCUUUGUGGUGUUCCCAGCCAUGGACCAGUAGUAGUCAUACAGGUUACCGGAGGGUACAGCAACGGUAUAAAGAAAAACACCAAUACUUUGCAGGUCAAGGAGAAACCGGCCACUGGAGUAGUCUGUGGGGAUGAUUCGGCUGCGGAGCUUCAUUCCUGGAGUGAGCACCUGAGUAGGCAGGAUGGUAUCUGCUGGGUUAUUGAAGGUCCCCCACUUGGUAGAGCCAUCUGCAGCAGCCAGUACGAAGUUUCCGGUAUUGAGCAUGGCAGCGUAUACUGCACCCACAACUCUCGGAUUCCAUACCUCUGUUCCAGUGGGAUCCUGGAGCGAGAGCGCCCCAUUUGAGUUGAGCAGGAGCUGGGAACCGGAUGAAACAUGUACCAGCGCUGGAUCUGGAUCAUUGGUCUUGGCAUACCAAACCACCGUCUUAUCACUGGUCUUGUCGAACCAGACAGCAAGCAGAUAGGAGGAGGUGUUACCCUCGAUGGGCCGGAAGCCGAACGCGAAGUCGCCAGACGGCGAGAGCCAAAAGCUGCUAGGCCCUUCAGGUGUCAAGGAGGAGCCUAAGGUUAUGUUCUGUUGAGCUUGAAGGGAAGUAGAGGACAGCAGCAGGAGCAAGGACAAGAGGAGGAGAGGUGCCAUGGUUCGUUUGAUUUGGCUCUCAGUUCUUACAUCUGAUGGCAAACUUAUGCAUCUCUUGGUUUUCGGAGUCUUCGUUGACUUGGCUUGACAAUCGAUGGGUCAUCGGAACCAUCACGUGGUGUAACAGUAGGCAGCUUUGAACUGGUAAAUCAUGGCAGUUGGCUGCUCCACGAGCAUGGGUCCUUGUCUGUGUGAGUACUCUUUGCUAGACUUUUUAUUGAAGUUUGGAAGUGUUCCAACUCGUGUUGGAAGUGUUCCAAAUUGCUCCUCUUGUCCAAGACAUCAAUUUCAAGUGCUAUUGUCGCUAAUCCAUUGAGUCUUUCUUGUGUCAUAGUAGAACACAAAUAAGAUUUCAACAACUUGAGUUUAGAAAAGCUCCUUUCUGCAGUUGUGACGGUUAUAGGAAUGGUUAACAAAAUUCUAUAUGCGAUAAGUGUAUUGGGAUAAAAGGGGCGCUUUUUCAAAAACUUCAAAAUAUCAAGAGAAUCCAUAGAUUAUUUAAGUAAAUCUUGGAUGACAGUGAAUUUUGCAAACAAUUCUUGACCAUCAAUGUCUUUAUGUUCUCCACUCUUAAGUGCGUUCUCAAGAUUGACAUAAGGAGCCAUCAAAUUAUUAUCAUCCAAGGAUCGCAGCCUAUCUGAAGUAAACAAGAAACUAAAAGUCUUUUCAUACCCUUGAUAUUGUUCAAAUCUCUUGGUGAGUGAAACUCUAGCUUGAUCAAUAACAUAUGUAAAAUAAUUGACCCAAAAUGACUCCUCCUCAGAUUGUGAAACAUUUGAUGCAUCAUCCGCGGCCUCAUCAAAAUAUCUUUUUCUUUUGAUUUUGCGCUUGGAAGUGAACUCUGGGUGAAUAUCCAUCUCCAUUGCAAUUUCUUUUGCAGCUUCCAAUGCUUUCGAAAAGCUAAUUUCUCUAUACUUCUUAAAAAAGCUAAUUAGUCCCUGUACAUACUCAAUUGCAAUAUCAAUAAGCAUAUCUUUUGAUUGUAGCUGCUUGUUGAUCAAAUUAACAACAGAUAAUAUUUCAUACCAGAUGAUUAUUGCCACUAAAAACUCAAAGCUACCAAGUUCAUUUUCCGCUAGCGAUUUAGCUUUGACGGAAUCAUCCAAAUUAACCUGACUAAAAUGCACUUAAGUCGCCUGACACGCGAGCAUGCACUUUAAGCAAGUCAACUCGGUCUUCUGUCGGAUUUUAUCCGAUAAACCACUUACUCAAGAUCGAGAAGCAUUACUCACAUGAAGAUAAGUGGGCACAGAGAUUACAACAUUUCCAUCACAUUAACAUAGUUCAACAAUUUAUUACAUCAGAGUUUAUGAAAUUUCAAGCAGAGUUUGCAAGGUUGUAAACAACGAAGAAGUAAAACAAGCGGAAGCUACGCAACGAUACACAAUACCAUGGUGAAGCCUACCAUGAUAUCCAUUUCAAUGAUCCACGCUGUCCGAGGACGGUUUCCACUCGACCGACCAACCUGGAGGGAGUUGGGUCGGCCAAGUCAAACUAGCAACCAUUUCCUCGAACUCAGCACUACCUUAAAACAUAGCCACAAGCAAGGCUGAGCAACUAGUAUUCAGCAAGACUGACCCCAUAGGUGAUAACUACUUCACCGACUCCUAGACAUGCAAGGCUUUUUGGCUGUGGGUUUGUUUUUGCCAAAAGCGCCUAAAGUUGGUCCUUACUUUCAAUACUUUAGCUCAAGUUCUAAGUUCAUUAACCAGUCUAGAUUAGAAACUUAUACUAAGCAAACAUAGUUUCCAAACAAUUAAAGGACAAGCAUCAAGAUUAAUAUCACCAUCAUGUUCCAUCUUUACUCAGUGCAGAAUAGCGAUCAAGCAGUCCCAAACUGUGAGGGGCAGAAGAAUUGAUUUGAAUUUAUUAACCAUGCAUGGUGAACCUAAUUCCACGACAUCCGAGCACCACGAAGGGUUGCUUCACUUGUCACCCGUCCCCAUCGAUCCCUUAGGCACGUGCCAGGUCCAAACUUCCUUUGGCAUGCAAUGCUCCAUAGUCCUAGCCUCUGCCGUACUGUGACCACACUUGCACCCACAUGAUGCACCAUGGGAACGACGUUCCAAGGACAACAGGAAUAUAAGACAUGCCCUAGUUCAAUCAGGUACUAGGCUUCCCUAUCCCAUACUAGGUAUGAGAUUAGUACUUUCAAACACUUGAUCAUGAAUGCCGACAUGUUUCGACCUUAGCAAGUUCAUUACUAGACAGACGGGGCAAACCACCACAUUGGAACCAUUCCCGGUCCCAUCCGUCAUCCUUAUAGUGGUAGUAUGAGUAAACAACAACUCCUAUAACUCGUGAGUGACAGGCAAUCACUCGACUUUUACCGAAUCCUAUUUAGCACAACAACUACUUGACUUUAACAACUAGUGUUCAGAUCAAGGUACUAAGGUAAUGCAUCUAAGGUGUCAUUAAACUCCUAUAAAUGUAAAUGCACAAUCAUAAGCAUCAACAUAUUGCAUAAUUUAAAAAAUAGGUAAGCAUGCACCGGGGCUUGCCUUCAGGUUCAGAGAAAGUUAGCGGAUCUUUGGGGUCUUGAUCUAGCUCGGGCUCAACUUCCGCGUGAUGUAGCUUUGCGGCGGGUUCCUCUUCCAGCGUAGGGUGGAGCUCGUAGGUUCCGUCGGCGAUAUUAGCUUCUACACGACAUGCACAUGCAGAAAGUUCAAAUUUUCCAUGCUUUCAUAUGAAGGAUGUAAUACAUGACUUAUUGCUGAAAUGAAAGUUGCAUUUCAACCACAUUCACCUAAACAAGGUCCUAAACUUUCAUUAUCUUCAUGAAGUAAGAUGUGUUGUGGUUUAAAACUCGGGGUUGACUUUGAUGGUGAUUGUGUUAUAUAUUUCACAACUUAGACUUCACAAGGAAGGUGGGGGUCGCUUUUAGGACUGUUUGGGGUUCAGUUGGAAAGUCAUUUAUUUCUGAAUGCUUUUAUGUACCUCUUCCAAAAAUUACCAAUUAAGUUUAUUUCUUUAUUCAUUUAAACCGAUUUCUCAUCCAAAAUUUGUUUCCACAACCAGCCAGUAACAUAUGACACUGAGAAAUUAGCAGCAUCUUGCUUAUCUCAUCAAUAAGUUAUUGUAAAAAUUUGGGAUCCAUUGGAUUAGUACAAAAAUAAUUAAAAUUAUUUUAUUAACCAAGGUUAGCAUGUACUUCACCAUUUUUAUCCCAAAACCUACAGUGAUUCUGAGGGUUAAACUUUAACAGUGGAUUGAAGGUGUGUUAGACUUUGGUGAAUUUUCAUGAUUUUUAGUGAAGGACAACUAUUUCUCACAUUUAUCUUCUAUUUAUCUUUCUUCAAAUAGAAAGGCGUGCCUCAACAAGUUACUUUUAGUGUUUCGUAUUUUUCCUAAGAACUAAUCCUCAAAACCAGGGUACUCCAAGUGGUUUCACAUUUUUCUCUGGCACAUUCCAUUACUUAUGCAAGAAGAAGGAUUUAGCCUUAGAUUUCAAAGAUAGGGUUAAAAUAGUGAUUUAAAGUACUGCUCCAUGGUCUUAACUAUUUUUCCAAGCCUCCAUACUCAGAAACAUACACCACAGAGUUGGAUUUAUCUUUUUAGCAUUUUUCUUUGAUUUACUAUGAUUUUAAAGGCCUAAGCAAGAAAUAAAACAUAAAACUAUAUUUCUAACAGUAACAUGUGCUAGAUCAUUUUUAAUAUGAAACUAGACAGUUCACUGAGCCCAACAAAAUUUAUUUGGCAUUUUUUUGAGUUUUCUAUGAUUUAUGGUGCAUUUACAAAUUGUAAUCUAUUUUCUGUCGAUUUAAAACAAUUAACCUAAACAAACUUACAAUCUAACACUUAUGUCUAUGGUUUAAUUGCGUAGGGGUCUUUAGUUCUUGCGCUAAAGCCCCUAGAAAAAGGUGGGAGACGUAGGGAGGCCCUUGCGGCGGCCGGCGGCGAGCUCGACUUGAUUGCGGCGAGUCCCGGGGUUAAUUGAGGGCAAGAACAAGAAUAGGUGGGGGAGGUGCGGGAGCUCACCGGGAAGCGAUUGGCGGCGGUUGGGGCAUCGGAGGGAGCUCGGCAGAGGCGGAAUGGCUUGGGGACGGGGAGCGGCUUCGGUGGCGGAGUCCCAGCGGAGUUUCGGUGACAGCGGGGCUUCGGGAGGGCAACAAGCUACUCGGGUAGGAGCGCGUGGUGGUGGCAGAGCUGGUGGUGGAGAUGGCGAGGCGCGGGGAGUGGUGGAGAUGGGUACUACACAGGAGGUGGCUCGGCGGCGUGAAGCAGAAAGCAGAGCAGAGGCGAGCUUGGGUGUGGGGAGCUUCGGGCGGCGCAUUGGUGCUAUUUAUAGCCACGGGGAGGGAGCAGGGGAGUGAGGCGAGGCUCCGGGCGUGGGUGGAUAAGAUCGGAGGGGUGCCGGUGGUGUGGCUGGUGUAUGGGGAUUGGGCGGACGCCAUUGGUGAUGGGCGCGGAAGCUUUGGGAUAGGAUCUUCGACUCACUGGACGCGGGCGAUUUGGGGCGCGGAGUAGCGGCUUUGGGGUGGAGGGAUUGACGAGCCAGGCACCGUCGAGUCGAUGUCGUGGUGGCGCAUUAGGUGGAGGCGUGGAGCCAGCGGGCAGCGGCGGCAUGGCGCAAGCGGAGGGGCGGAGCUUGGCGCGCGGUUGGGUGGAGGAGAUUGAGCGCAAGUGGGAGAGAUAGGCGUGCCGCUUGAUUGGGUAGCCGGAGCUCGCCGUCCUGUCAAGUCUGGGCUGGGGGUUGGCCGGCGGCGAGCUGCCGGUGAGCAGAGGCCACACGGCGGGUGGUGCACGGGCGAACGUGCGGGCGCGUUCUGGGCGCACGCUGGGCGGGGUGCGCCUCGGGCAGGCCAAAAGGGCCAGGUUUUGGGGGCCUUUUGCUCAAAACUUUUCAAAAGGACUCAUGAAACUCCAAAAGCAAAACAUGUAGCCCUAAUGUCCAGCUCAAAGUCUUACAAAAGGAUUUCACCCAAAAACUAAAUGGAUUUCAAGUUAAGAAGCUCCAAACAUCGAUAGAACGCGUUCGUCUUGGACCCGGGCAAAAUCAGGAACUGGACUGUUUUCAGGGAUUUUGGCCAGUUUCGGUGCAACUUUUGAGGGGUUUGGGAUUUGAAUUAGGCAAGAGUGUUAUUGAAGGAAUUGUUCGUUGGUCUUAGAACUUCAACUUCUAUUCAGGACUUUUCUUGAGUUUAGUUCAACUUUUAGGAGGAAUGGGCUCGUCAAGAUUUGCGCUUUGGACGUUCUUCCAGACUUAGCGCAGAAAUGCAUUUGCAUUGGUUUGACUAUUUUAAGUGACUUUGACCAAGCUUUUGAACAUGUUUGGUUGUGAAUUAGACUUGAGUCAGUAUAACAAAGUUUUAACACACUCACAGAACUACAACUUCUAUUAGGGGUCUGACUCGAGUUUAGGUUGCAAAGUUUUAACAAAGUUGAGGAAAAACAUGAAUUCCAGGACUUACGUCAUUUGUAGGAUUUUGGUGUACUCCUGAUUUGAUUUUUGUUUUUGACCUUCUCCUACUCCAAAUUAGCUAAAGUGUUAUUAAUAAAAGUUGUUUGAAAUCAAAAGGUUUACAACUUCUAUUUGGACAAAAUUCCAAGUUUGUAUAUAAAAUCUCAAGUUUCCUAUUUAACUCCAAAAAGAGCUUUUUAGGGGCAAAUUGGACAUUUCACUUCCUGUGCUUAGUGACUAAUGACUUUCUUAGGUUUAACUACACCUAAUUAAGGUAGAGUUGUUACAUUAGCUUCACUACUUUUCAGUGGGUCAUCAUCAGUUUCAGCCACCUGUUGUAAAGCCUCUCUUAAUUCUGGGAUCUGAAACCUUAUAGCCUUAACACUUUCAAGAUGACUCUCCCAACGAGUAGCUGACAAUGAUUUAAGAGUCAAUCCUGAUAUGUUAUCUUUUAGAAUUUUCCACCUUUUUGUAGAAUUAGCAAUUGUUGUAUACAUGCGUUGGAUAACUCCAAAAAAUUCUAUUCCUUUUCGACAAGACUUUGCCAUAUCACAAAGUAUCAAAUUCAUACUAUGAUAACCACAAGCUGAAUAAAAAGAUCUUGGAUUUAUAUCCAAUACUUUCUUGUGUACCCCUAUAUUUUCCCUUUCAUAUUUGAUCCAUUAUCAUAUCCCUAUCCUCUCAAAUUGUCUACAUCAAGAUCAAGAUUUUUCAAUUCCUCUAAUAGAAUAUCAAAUAAUCCUUGCCCAUGGUAUCAUUCACAUCCAAAAAAUCUAAGAAGGAUUCUUCGAUGCAAACGGAACCUGAAGAUGUAUCAACAUACAUUAUUAUCAAAGACAUCUGCUCUUGGUGGCUUGCAUCAGGAGUACAGGCAAGUAUAACUGAGAAGUACUUUGCUUCUUUUACCUUUGCAAAAAUUGCAGACCUAAUUGCAGAAGCUAACAAAUUUAUUAACUCAUUUUGGAUGGAAGGACCAAGAUAGUGAUCACGGAUUUUUUCAUUGGUGAUGCGGUCAAUGUGCUCUUUUAUAACUGGGUCAAAUUCAGCCAAUAUCUGAACCAAUCCUAAGAAAUUGCCAUUGUUGUCUUGAUACAACUUGCUAUUACUACCACGAAAUGCUAUAUUAUGUUAUGCGAGAAAUUUUACAAUCAAAAGAAUCCUGAGCAAAACUUUUCUCCAAUGCUCCCUUUCCUUUUCAAGUUCUCGCUGGGCAACAUUAUCAAUUGUUUGAUUCUUCUCCAACCUGAGACGGAAGUCAUAUCAUGAGGUCAUAUUUGUGACAUGUUCUCUACUAAUUUCGUGCUCCUUAAACCUAUGGCUAAGAUGAGACCAGUCAUUGGACCCCUUGUUUGCUAACUGACCUCUCACAAGGCCCUUCCUCAAUAAUUUGCAGCAAAAACAAAAUACCUUGUCAAGUUCUUUGCUAUACACAAGCCAUUCUCUCUCACACUUUUCUCCAUUCGAGAGAACUCUACUAUACGAUAGUGCUGAAAAUCUUCUGGAGAACUUGUCUCUAGGACCAUGCUCAAUGGACAAGUCUCUUUUAGGACCCUUUUCCAGCAAAAUAUCGAUCAUUUUAGGAUCGAGUGCAUCCCAAGUUCUUGGAUCAAAGAUAUCAGGCUGGAAAGAAUUAUCAAUGCCAGCGCCAAUAUUAGCAUCAUUACCUCUAUCGCCAUCGGCAAUAUUAGCCUCGUUACCUCCAUCGCCAUCGCCAUCAUGUUCUUCUUUGCCUGUAUUACCGUGGCCUUCAUCAACAUUAGGUUCUUCUUUGCCUGUAUUACCGUGGCCUUCAUCAACAUUAGCUUCUGUAAUUUAGGAGUCUCAACCUCUAUUGCAUCAUCACCAUGACCACGACCUUCACCAACAUUAGCUUCUGGAGUUUCUCUGACAACAAAUCUAUCAAGUGCACCCUUUUGUGAUUGAGCAAAAGCUUCUGGUCUUUGUUUCUUCUUACGCUUUUCAGCACUAGAUUCAUACUUUCUAAUUCUUAUAGUAGACAUAGGAUACCAACAUCUGUUCCAUAAACCAAACAAAAAUAUUUGAAUUAAAUCAAAUAGCACAUGUACAUGUGCAAGAAAUAGCAGUUUUGUUUAGAUUCAAUUUAGGAAGACAGGAAGUCAGGAACCGAUGGAAAUUGGAUUGCAUUACAAAACUGACCUGCCGCCUGCCUGCCGCGGUGCGCCCUCCUGCCGACGGGAAUGGGAGCGGGAUCAAGGAAACGUUCAGAGGAUGAGGAAUACGAACUGCUGACGGUGCCCUCCUGCCCUCGAGUUUGUGACGGGAGAAGCGGAAGGGUCUACGACGAUUCUGUUGCCGCGGCGGAAUGUGUCGGAUGCAGAACAGGACUCGCGAGUUCAUGAGUUUGUGUCCCAGACGAUUCAGUACCAGGCUUGUGCAGUUGGGCUGUUAAAAUUUAGGAGCCCAUCAUUUCUGAGGCCGUGCUCGGUUGCCCACCUCGCUCUUGGCCUUCGACGGGCCUGCUUUAUACUUCGUCUCCUCAUCAAUGAACGAGUACUGCUCUGGGCACAGGCAAAUACUCUGGUUGUUUGUGCCAUUGAACGUGCAGUAACUCUUAAACCCACAAAUGCCGCUUCCAUCAUUUGUCAGUUGUGCGUCAGAGAUAUUGGGGGGCUUGAAGUCCACUACCACUGACCAUGCUUGACUACUCAGGUUGCUGACCUUCUUCAGGCACCGAUAUUGCCUGAACACACCAUUUGGGUCAAGUGUAGCACGAUGAUAGUAGUCUAACAUGGAACCGGUGACCCCAGAUGUCACACUGAUCUGUGUUCCGUUAUCCAAGGUGAUGUAUACCAUGCCAGUCGCAUUGAACACCAGCUUUGUGGUGUUCCCAGCCAUGGACCGGUAGUAGUCAUACAGGUUACCGGAGGGUACAACAACGGUAUUAAGAAAAACACCAAUACUUUACAGGUUAAGGAGGAACCGACCAUUGGAGUAGUCUGUGGGGAUGAUUCGGCUGCGGAGCUUCAUUCCUGGAGUGAGCACCUGAGUAGGCACGAUGGUAUCUGCAGGGUUUUUUGAAGCUCCCCUAUUUGGUAGAGCCAUCUGCAGCAAGCAGCACAAAAUUUCCAGCAUCGAGCAUGGCAGCGUAUACUGCACCUACAACUUGCGGAUUCCAUACCUCUGUUCCAGUGGAAUCCUGGAGCGAGAGCGCCCCAUUUGAGUUGAGAAGGAGCUGGGAACCGGAUGAAACUUGUACCAGGGCUGGAUUUGGAUCAUUAGUCUUGGCAUACUAAACAACCGUCUUAUCACUGGUCUUUCUGAACCAGAUAGCAAGCAGAUAGGAGGAGGCAUUACCCUCGAUGAACCGGAAGCCGAACGUGAAGUCGCCGGAUGGCGAGAGCCAAAAGCUGCGAGGCCCUUCAGGUGUCCUGGAGGAGCCUAAGGUUGUUUUCUGUUGAGCUUGAAGAGAAGUAGAGGACAGCAGCAGGAGCAAGAACAAGAGGAGGAGAGGUGACAUGGUUCGUUUGAUUUAAUUUGGCCCUCAGUUCUUGCAUCCGAUGGCAAACUUAUGCAUCUCUUGUUUUUUUGAGUCUUCGUUGACUUGACUUGACAAUGGAUGGGUCAUCGGCAUGUGGUGUAAUAGUAGGCAGCUUUGAACUAGUCAAUCAUGGUAGUUGGCUGCUCCACGAGCAUGGAUCCUUGUUUGUGUGACUACUCCUUGCUCGACUUAUAGCAUAGUUGUUAGGGCUUUGCGGCGAGUCGUGGCGACUGGCGAGCCCAAGUGGUCUGGACGGCUAGGUGCCUAUGCGCUCGCCUAGGCGACAAUUAGACGGUGAAAACAUAUAAUCGCACUUUUGACUAGGAAUUCAACAUAUGUCGUCACAUUGUAAGAGAUAAUAUUGUUGGCUGUAUCCAAUAGUUGAUACAAAUGAAUUUUAACACCAUACAUUCCUUUACCAUCAUUCAUAUUGUCACUGUGAAGGGCAUAGGCCAGCAGGCUUAACCACAGAUAGCCUGACAUAACAUAGUACGCAUAUAGUUAGUGCACUACUAGUUCUGCGUUAAAUGUGUAAUUGUCUAGUUAACAAUAGCAAAUCAACUAGGUGUUUCUAACAGCAACAAGCUGAUAGCUGAACAAAAGGUAAACCGCUGGCACUGCACCAUCUCAAAGUCCAACUCUAUGUUUCUGUCAUUGUUGUCAACGUAUCACUCAUCAUCUAAGACAAAGGCAUCCAUCUUCCUUUCAGCGUCAAUGUUUCCAUCAUCUGAUCCAUGAAUAUCGUCGGCUUGCAGGCCUUAUAGUCAUCUUCCACAUCCUCGUCAUCACACACAAAGACUUCUUCCUCUUGGCUUUUUGUAUUGUUGGGGCUUCUUUCAGCAGAAGCAGCAGAAGAAUCUUGGACAUCAUUUGACAUAGCAUUUCUGUCAACAUGAGACCGAAUAAACAUACAGUUGUCACGAGAGCUCUCCUUGGAAGGUUGCGUCCUUGGAGUGUGCUUGAUGUGCCAGUGGCCUCUUCGACAUUGGCCCCAACAGUAGCAUUCUUGCCGACCCACUCACUUUCCCACUGGAAUCCUUCAAGGAUCAAAGGAUUGGCAUUCCUGCCCUCACGACGAACCUGAUGAAAUCUGGCUUCAAUCUUGUUGUUAUAUUGGACAUACACCAAAUCAUUUACCUGCUGAUGCUCAAUAAGUCGAUUCCGUUUCUUUGAAUGAAUCUGAAAAGAAAAAAAAGGCAGCCACAUUUAGUAGGCCAAAAUGCACAUUUCCAUCCUGGGUCAUUUGACUUGGCCCUCCUCUUCGGAUUGUCCAUUGGGUCUGAAAGAGCAUCUAGGUUCCUAAUUCAAUUUUGGCGAUUAAUGAAAACAUGAUCAUUGCGACUAACAUGUGUUUUACAACGGUAUUCAUUAAGUUAGUGCAAUGAUGGGUUUUCAUGGUAGUCUUGGCCACAAUCAUGUGAGUGAAAUUGUAUAGGUUCAAAGGAUAAGCGAGAAGACUAAGGACAAGCUAGUUCCAAGUGUCGUUUGGCGUUGAGAGAUACUUGAAUUAGUAUAUGUCUUUUAUUUUCCUUGGGCCAUACUAUAAGGGGGGCAAAGAGUAGUAGCUUGACCUAGGUGAGUACUUGAGUUGAGUGGAUGCACAUUUGUGAAACAAGGCACUAGUAAGCUUAGUUGAAGCCCAUGGAUAUGAAGAAGUGGUGGAACUCCAAAGAAGUUGAAUUGGAUGAGAUACACACAUUGAAUAUGCAAAGUAGGGUGUCACCGACUGAUUCGAUGACCACUACUGAGUGUCACCGAAUCGGUGACUGCAGUGUGUGUGUGCAGAGGGAUGGACAGGAUCAUAGAUUGAUUCGAGGCUAUAGAGGGCCCUCAGCGUAUAAGUUGAUGAGUAGUGGUUGCGCCAGCAUUGCCUGUGUGUGACUGUGUCGACCGAUUGAUUCGGUGGGUGCCUUUGUGCCCCACCGAAUGAGUUGGUGUGAUCGGCUCCGCUUGCGAUAGGCUUAAAAUCGGCUCUGGAAGUUUUUGAAAUUAUUUGAGGCCUCAAUGAUUGUUACUGUGGCCGAAUUAGUCGAUGAUGUGUCAGUAAUAACCGAUUGAUACGGUGCUCACUUGGGACCAUCACUGAAUCAGUUGGUGAUGGGAUUUUCUGUGCAUGUGAAGGCAACGGCUAGUUUCUUGCCUUGGCCUAUAAAUACACCUUGGGCUGGUUCAUUUCAACUCUCUUGACACUCAGGGAAGCUAAUAAACAAUUUGGAGGUCAAGGAUGAGUUGAGCACUAGAAGUGACUUGAGAAGUUCUUAAUUGAAGAUUAAGGACAUCAUUAGUGCUUGGAGAGUAGCAUAGUGUGCAUCCAUCCAUCUCUUUGACUUGUGUAGGUCAAGUGAGAGUCUUUGCUUGUUACUCUUUGUGAUCGGCAUCACCUAGACGGUUUGUUGGUGGUGUUCUUGGUGAGCUCUCAAGGAGGUGACUUGUGAGAAGCCCCGAGAAGUGUUGUGCUUUGUUUGGAAUCUGCCAAUCCGGAGUGGAGAAUGGAUUACAUCUAGUGAGCACUUGAUCCUUGCGCGGAUCAAGGGGGAGAUAUACCCUUGCCGGGUGCUCCAACGAGGAUUAGGGGAGAGUGCCAACACUUCGAUACCUCAGGAAAAAAUUGGCGUUCUAACCCUCUCUUACCUUCCACACCUAAAUUCCGCAUUUACUUUCCACAUUUUAAUUUCUAGAAUUGUCAUGCUAGUGUAGGAUUGGAACUAGGUUGUAGACCUUUGUGCAAAUAGAAUAGACACACAUGUUAAGGUUGAAGGUACAUGGGAUGAUUAGGGUUGUUGUUAGGUUUUAAUUUUCACAAAAAAUUGUAGAAGCCUAAUUCAACCACCUAGGCAUCUUGAUCCUUCCACUAAUUCAACCACCUAGGCAUCUUGAUCCUUUCAAUUAGUAUCGGAGCCUCAUUCUCAAUUGGAUAGGCUUCACUGCCUAGAGCAAGAUGUCUGGGGAUAGACCCCCUCCAAUGUUCGAUGGCGACGAUUUUUCCAAUUGGAAGAUUCGUAUGGAGGCUUGCCUAGAUGCCAUCAACAAUGGAGUCUAUAGGGCCUCCGUACAUGGUUCCCUGCAUUGCAUACAAUGCUAAUCCCACCGCUGCCAAAUCCAACUAUGAAAAGUAGAAUGCCAAACUCAUAACACCCUUUUCCAUGGCAUUAGCAAGGAAGUGUUCAAUAGGGUGCGCACGCACAAGGAUGCUCAUGAGCUUUGGAAAAAAUUGUUGGAAAUGCAUGAGGGAUCCAAGGAUGAGAGAGAGAGGAGUGUUAGAAAGUUGUCAUGGAUAAAAUCAAUGGUUUUAAAAUGCUUCCUCCUGAAAAUGCUAAUUAAAUAUUCUCACGUUUGAAUGUUCUCCUAAAGGAGCUCAAUGACCUUAGGCAUCGCCAAGAUGGAGGAGAUUGAAAUCAUAAGAAGAAUACUUAGCAUUCUCUCCAAGGAAAAGUACUCCAACAUCGUCACCUACUUCCAUCAAGUUGACCUUGAGAAGGUACGAGAUUGCCAAGAUCUCGGGGAAGAUUAGUGACCAUGAGAUGUACAUGGGCAACACAAAUCAAGAAGGUGCUGCUUCCUCCAAGAAGAAUGAUAUUGCACUCAAGGCAACCAAGAGAAGAAAGCUCACAUAAAAAAGGAAGCAAGUGAGGAUGAAGGAGGAGCCUAACGUUAUGUUUUGUUGAGCUUGAAGAGAAGUAGAGGACAGGAGCAGGAGCAAGGGCAAGAGGAGAAGAGGUGCCAUGGUUUGUUUGAUUUGGCUCUUAGUUCUUACAUCUGAUGGUAAACUUUUACAUCUCUUGGUUUUUGGGGCCUACUUGACUUGACUGUCGAUGGGUCAUCGAAACCAUCAUGUGGUGUAACAGUAGGCAGCUUUGAACUGCUUAAUCAUAUCAUGGUAGUUUGGCUGCUCCAUGAGCAUGGGUCCUUGUCUGUGUGACUACUCCUUGCUGGACUUGUACCGUCAGAAGAAAGGUGAUUUGUCACACUAGUUCUGUUGUUGCAUGUUCAGUGGUUCUGCUUCUGCCAUCAGCGGUUGAGUGAAGCCUAUCCUAACCUUAGGCUCUAUGAAGGUAUGUUUAGCUCAGUUGUGUAUAUUGAAUUUGCCUGAAUUUUAGUCCUCCUCUUCUACACACAUUUGGGUACAUGUUUUUAUCCAUAUACCAAAAUGUAGCAACAUCUAUAUGUGUUUGAUUUUUUAUUCUACCUUUGGUGGGUUGUUGUUUUCUUCCACCUACAUUUGUCUCCUCUUUUAUUUUUCCGACAAACCUUGAGUUGAUUGUAGUUCCUCUUCUACGCACUUCAUAUUUUUUUCUCCUAACCUUUUGGCGAUGGUGACAUGGAUCCUCUUCAUAUUUUGUUGGAAUUUUGUGCUGAUGGUGGAUCCUCCUAGAAUUCAAAAUUACACUUCAAUCUGAAAUGGAGAUCGAUUUCAGCAGCCCCAGUUGCAUGUGACAUGUUUUCCACUAAACAAAGUGGACUUGUAUCAUUACUUUUACACCGAGUUUUUCCCACAUCACUCGCUGGCAUGAUGGAACAAGUGAGUUGAAAGUAGAAGAAGCACCGGACAUCAUUUGAUCGUUUCAUCUGGCUGCUGGAAAAAGGCACCGCAGGUCAUGCCUUCAAGGCUUGUUUGGUUUUGAUCCUUCCAAGAGCUCAUUUUCAUCUCUCUAAGUGCGCAAAGGAUUUCAGCCUGACCCAUUUUACCCACGAGCCGGCACCCCACCAGAUCCAGGUCCACUGGAGUCCACAACAAUAAGGUAUCGAGCCUAACUCAACCUAAAAGAUGAGCUUGGGUGGGGGCUGCCCCCACCUAUAUGUUGUGCUCCCCAACCAUCAAUUUUUGACGUGUGGGACUAAACCUAACCAAUCUCCCCCAUCACACAUCGGGCCCAACUCUUCCAUCACAAGCAAUCCAUGUGAUCUCCGGAAGACGUUAUCCCAGGCCCCGAGUCCAACUCUCCAGUCACAACUCAACCUGUGUGAUCCUCCGAAGACGUUCACAAGCUCCCCCGUCAUCAUUUGACCUAGGUGUUCCAGAUUUUUGACCUUUUUAGCCCUGAUACCACUUGGUAGAGUGUGCAGCAAAUUCCAGCUCGGCCCUCUAUACCCACGGUCCACCGAAGCCCACAACAACAAGGCCUCGGGCCUAACUCAACAUAAAAGACUAGCCUGUUGGGUGAGGGCUGCCCCCACCUAUAUGUUGUGCUCCCCCACCAUCAAUUUUCGAUGUAGGACUAAACCUAACAUCCUUCCAUGCUGGAUCGCUGCUUGGGCACAACUGCCUAGCUCAGCUGUGUAUACUCUAUGAGAGGUAUUUAGAUGUUUGUAAUUUGCCACAUGGACGAGAAAGACUAAUGUUAUUGGUACCUUGAACAUGUUGCAGUGUUCAUUUUGCGAUUGAUUUUUUCCAACACCUCUUACAUGAAAAGCUUGCUUAAAUAGAAUUUUAUGUUAAAUUGUAGGAUUUUUAUGAACAUAUGAAUGAACAUUGAGAUCUUUAUGCACACUAUACAGAGGAAAUAAGAUCUAUAUAUAUUGAACAUGAAUUUUUCAUGAAUUCUAGUGUUUUGACAUGUCAUCCAUGCCCCCUAUCACUACACUACUCAAGUCAACAGUAGGUUUCUUAAACCACCUGACUGCUUUAGGUUCGUGACCUUACCUCAAACCUGCUAUCUCUUCUAACUACCUAACUUAAUCUCUGCAUCCAUGUUCGCUUCCACUCUUAUUCCAGGUUGAUGAAAGUACAACUCAAAACUAUUCCUACAAUCAUACUCCUUUCUUUCCAAAUUGCUCGCUUGUCUUACUCCCCUUUGAGUCUGAUUUUUGGGGAGUGCCCAAAAGUUUUUAUCUUGGUGCAAAUUUUUGUAACUACGUAGUUUUGUAGCUAGGAGCACAAAGUUUAUAAUGCGAUAGUAUAAAGUUCCUAAUUCUAGAACGCAAAGUUUUGCACCAAGGAGUGUAAUGUUUUGCAACGCCCUAGCAGUAAGUUUUCUUAUUCAGAGUGUAAAGUUUUAAAAUAACAAAGUAUAUAUACAGGAUCACAAUUUUUUCAAAGAAUUAAUAUGGUUUUGUAAAUAUAAUGUCCCCAACAUAUCAUUUGAUAGCUGGUUGUGGGGAAACUUCUCUUCUAUAAAGUAUCGGAUCUAUGAGGCACAAAGUACUGGAUAUGUGAUUACAAAGUUUUAGACUAGGAGUAAGAAGUUUUAAAUACCCUACCACAAAGCUGUAGGGUUUUGGUAGUGCAAAGUUUUUGGAAUUACAGAGUUAUUUAGCGCAAAGUUUAUCUUGUGGUAGUAUAAAAUUCCCAAAUCCAGAGCACAGAGUUUGGAAUUACAAAGCUUUUGCAUCUACAAGUGUAAAGUUUGAAAUGCAACUGUAUUAAGUUUUCUUAUUUACAAUGCACAAAGUUUUAUAUGCAGGAGUGCAAUUUUUAAAACGUGUCUGUAGGAAGUUUUCAGUAUCCAUGCUGAAAUCUUGUUUUCACUUCCAAGUUGUAUAUAUAAAAUCUUGAAUUUAUGAAUUUGGAAGCAAUAACUAAAUUCCAGUAGAAAAGACUUCUUACCUACAACUUAAAAGUUUUUCCAUUUCGAUUUUGUCAUAGAUCAUUCUUUUGGGUAGGCUGCAUAAUUUUUUUUGCAGUGAUAGGACCAUUGGAGUAAGGAUAAGUUGCAUAAUAUUUUCGCAAAUUUUCAUUUUCCCUAUGCUUAGAUAUGUGUAUUACUAGUCAAUUGUAAAAGGGGGUCAGAACAAAGUUUCUACAUUUGGGGCUACAAAGUUAAGAUAUGCUACUACAAAGUUUCUAAAUUUAGAGUAGAAAGUUUGGAACUAAAAAGUUUUGAAGCUGGGAAAUACAAAGAUUAUAAUGUGCUUGUACAAAGUUCCUAAAUUUGGAGUUCAAAGUUUUAGAUGAUAAAGGAUUCAAGAGUAAAAUGUCCCAGUAUAAGGUUUUUGGCUUUUUUGUGAGUGAAGAACUGUAUGUCUAAAGUUCUUAUUUAACUUGUAGAAAGUCUUUCACUAUAAAUUUUUGUAUUUGAAAUUACAAAGUUUAAGGUAUGAUAGUACAAAGUUUUCUAAAUUUAGAGUGCAAAGUUUGGAAUUAAAAUUUUCAAACUGAGAAUACAAAGCCUUUUAAUGUGCUAGUUGAAAGUUCCUAAAUUUGGGGUUCAAAGUUUUAGAUCAUAAAAUUUUGGAUCUAAGAGUAAGACAUUUCAAAUUUUCUAUUGCAAAUUUCUUGAUUUGGAAGUUUUUUUAGAUUUUUGAGUGUAUUUUUCUUCAUAUUUGCUUGACCUCAAAGUUUUUUGAUUCCUAAUUUAGAGUUUUAAGUGCUUGGACAAAUUUUUCUCACUCUUUUUACAAGAUGAAGUUUAUAUCAAUGCGAAUGCAGUCAAAGUUUAUAUUCAUAAUUUAAGAGUUUCCAACAUUUGAGUAUAAUAUUUUUUAUAUUUGAAAGUUUUUAACUUAGUGGUAGGUAGUUUUUUUUAAUUUUAAGUUUCUUCUCUACUAUUACAGAGUUAUAGAGUUUCAUAAUUGGCAAUUCAAAAUUUUCAAUAUGACUAUAUUAAGCUUCCGAUUUCUUUUAAUUCUAAUGUGUUUUCUUCAGAGUAUCAAAGUUGAUUUCUAUCACUGAAGAUGCACCUUUUUGUUGCUAAAAAUCAUGAUGAUGCUUUGUGCUGAAGAUGGACAAGCAUUUAUAACAUGAACGAAUUGUCCAGUCUUCUUUUUCGAGGAUCAGUCAUUUCUCCUCCUGUACUGUUCCUCCUGUACUGUUCUACAUUUAUAUGUAUGUCAAACAAUCCCUCAGACCAUUAACUCACCCACACACCCGCUAUUCCGAAACAGAAAUCACGAGAACUGAGAAAUAGGAAGAAACUUGACGUAGAGAGAACCAGACAAGUACAGAGAAGCCUAAUCAGGGAUAGGGAACCAGAAAAGACAGCUAGUGAUAGUGACAUAUGCAUGCCAGUUAAAAACCACGACCAACUACUGACUGCCAAUGCCCGUUCAUCGCAACUGUCGCGCGGUGAACGAUCGCUCGCUAAUGACAUGUACAUGGAACAUUUAUUCUAGUAAGUCCUAUAGGAAGGGGGAGGGGAGGCGGGGGGAGGGAGGAGAGGGAGGGAGGAGGAGGGGAGGUGGCCAGCGGAGGGCAGGAGAGGGAGAGGAUAGGGAGAUGGUCAGGUGGAUAAGGUGCCGGGCAGAGGGAAAGGAAUGGGUGGGUGGAAGACCGGAGAGAGAAAGGGGCUGGUGGGUAGAUACGGUGCCGGACGGAUGCGAGCUGUGCUCCAAAACUUAUUUGAACAAAAAAUUCAGGUACAGACUCCUCUUUUCACUACCGGACAGUGGGAGGGCUCGGCGGUGAUGCUAGUUUUCACUACCUGUUAUGUGUUGUACCACGAUUACAUGAUUGACUUUCAUUCAGGUUUCUAUGCCGGAUUCUCUUAAACUGGUAGUGAUAGCUCGGCUCGGAUGGCUCAUUCUGAAGUAGUGUAUCCUACUAUUCCACGUUGGUUGUAGAGUCUGGAUUGAUUGUGAUUGCAUUGUCGAAGUCUGAAACUCUUCAAAGGUCAUCGUUCCUUUUCUUAUCAAACCUAAAUUUUAACAUCUUACAAGAUUUGGCACAAGAGAAGCUUUCUAUUUCCGAUUAAAAUGGCAUGAAGGUAGAUGCGUGUGUUGGAUAUUAUUGUGAUCUCAACAUAACAACUCAGAUUACACCUCACAUACGUGUCCCACCUACGUUGUAUGUGAUUAGGACUCAGGUGCUAUAAUUGGCAAGCACACCAAAGUGUAACCAACUAGGACUCGGCCCCCAUCCCACAAUGCUAUCUAUCUAUCUAUCUAUCUAUCUAUCUAUCUAUCUAUCUAUCUAUCUAUCUAUCUAUCUAUCUAUCUAUCUAUCUAUAACACACCUGGGUGCAUCCUGUAUGUAGAAUGCACCCAGGUCGGUGGGCGCACCAGGUUGCAGCAACUAGCGCACCCAACCAAACAUGUGGUGCAUGCUUCCUAAGUUAAUUUAUAUCUUCCACCUACCACAUAAACCCACCUAGCAUACAAAUCCCACCAGACUGCAUGCAUACAUGCAUGGAAUCUUUUGUUGGUUCGAAUCUUUGAAACAAAUUUUCUCCUAAACCAUAACCCCGAUUGCCAAACCGUUUGUUGCAUCCGACUCAAAAAAAUAUGCUUAAUAAAACUAGAUCCAAUACGGAUAUUUUUUUUAAUCAUUUAAGCGAGUUGCAUAUCAAUGUAGUACCAGUUGCAACUAGUUAUAACCCUAUGUAUUAUAUGCAUCAAGUCAAUAUGAUUGCAAUUAUGAGUUGCAAUCGUACCUUGUUACAACCAGAGUACCAACCGUGUUGCAACCGAGUAGUAACUAGUUACAAUUAGUAGUAAUUGGUUGCAAUUGGGUAGUAAUUGGUUACAAUUCUAUUAAGUAGGAAGCAUAUCUGGGUGCAAUUAGAGUAGCAAUUUGGUUGCAACUGAGUAUUAAAUAAUUGUAACCAUAAGUAACAAGUGCUAAAUAGGCUACAAUCAAGUUGCAAUUGGGUUGCAGAUGUUCUUGCAACUCAUAGUACAACUUACUUGCAAUUACAUACUUAAAAAAAACUUCAUCAAAUAUAGCCUUCAUGGAUCUCGUUGUAUUAAGCAUAUUUUUUCCAACAACCUGUUUCAAACGGAUCUAAAAUCGGAUCUACGGUUUAGGAGAUAUCGUAUUUUUUUCGAAUCAAGAAAAGAUUCCAUGCGUGCAUGCUUCUUGGUGGGUGGGUUGAGCUAUGAGGUGGCAUCACGUGGUUGGUUGUCAAGUUGCAAUUGGGUUGCAGACGUUCUUGCAACUCAAAGUACAACUUAGUUGCAAUUAUAUAUUUUAAAAAACUUCAUCAAAUAUAGCCUUUCAUGGAUUUCAUUGUGUUAAGCAUAUUUUUUCCAACAAUCUGCUUCACACAGAUCUAAAAUCGGACUUGCGGUUUAGGGGAUAUCACAUUUUUUCAAUUAGAAUCAAGAAAAGAUUCCCUACAUGCAUGCUUCCUGGUGGGUGGGUUGAGUUUUGAGGUGGCAUCACGUGGUUAGUUCUCUCCAUUUAGUUUUGCAUGCAGGAGCGUGGGAUUUCCUUGGCGUGCGAAUUAGCUGGCGCGAGGGACGUAGGGUGGCGAUAUGUGCAUUUGCUGUACAGAAUGCACCUGGGUGCAUUUUAGCCUCAUCCUAUAACUGCUUGCAACAAGUAUUGAUUGCGUAGUAAUGAGUUACAACCAGUAUUAACUGGGCUUGCAACCGGAUAGUAACUGAGUUGUAACUAAUUGCAUCGAUUGCUUGACCUUGUUCAGGUGUCCCUUCAGCUUCUGCAGCUCAGCGGUAGUCUCUUGAAGCUCCGUGUUAGCUUUUGUGCAUUCUUCCUUCCACAUCAUUGCUUCGUUUUUAGCUUUCAGAUUCCUAUUACCAUUUCUAAUUUUUAGAUGAGGCAUGAAUGCAUCGUGUCUAAUUUUCUUCCUUGUGUUCAUCAGCUCAAGGGUGGUCUCCCUAAAGUAUCGAUUCACCUUCUACAGCUCAUAGAUUGUGUCAUUGAGCUCCUUCCUAGCAAUUCUCCAUUCUUCUUCAGCUUUUUCCUUGCUCUUCGUCAGCUUCACUAGAAUACCUUUAGUUCUAGCAUCCCAUUCAGGAUCAACCCACUUAAACUCCAUGCAUUUCUCCCCUUGAGGUUGCAGACACCGAUAAUGUUCAUAAAAUUCACCAUUUACGACACUAACAUCAAGAGUACAAGCAAGGUUUAUUAAAAUUGAAACAAGUUAUCACUUACAUCACAGCAGGAUGCAUACUGAUGCCCAGGGUUGUCAAAUGUCCAAUCAUACCUCACAUGGAGAGCAUACCCGUGCUCGCAGUUGUUUUCAAGAUCCACAAUGACAAUAUCAUGGUCAGGAGACCCCGAUCUUUCGCUACCAAUGACUCCAAGCACCUCUAGAAACUAGUAAAAUACAAGAACCUAUCAAUCCAUAAUACAAUCCAAAUUAAAAAAUAACUGUAUCUAGUGUGUUCAACAAAGAUCCCCAAAUCCAGAAAUCCUCUUCCCUAGGACGAUAGGGGAAAGUAGCGGCACAAACUAGUCGACUGACCUGACCGAAUGUCCUCCUCCCGUGGCCCCUACGAUCACGCACUAUUCCCGCCGCGGGUCAUUGUAGAUCUGCUCAACGAAGCUAGCUCAAGUCUUUGCCACAGCCAACAGGAGCGUGGUGCCAACGAGUCUCUUGCAGUAGUGUAUGCCAUGUCUAAAAAACAUACAUAGUUCAUGUCUUAGUGCUAGUGCUGUCUCAGCACUUUCAAGAGGUCACAGGUUCGAGCCUUGCUAUGGACACUCUUUCCUUUUUAUUUUCCUUCCCUUUUUCCAUCUCAGACUAACAUAACAAGGAAUUCUGAAUGGUAAAUAUAUUAGAAUCAAAUUGAAAGUAGAUUAAACCAAAGCGGCAUAAUCAGAUGGCAUGUCAUAGUCAUUCAUCACUACAAAGUUCAUAAUCAUCGUUCUUACUUAUCAUAAUUUGCCAGAUAGUACCAUCAACUGCCAAAUUCAAAGCACGAUCCCACCUCUCAACCAUCUACCCUAGCAAUAACAGCAAAUAUCACAACAGCAACAAGCAGCAAAUAUCACAGCAGCAACAGGUUUCAUAAGAUGGCAUGUCAUAACCAUUCAUCAUUACAAAAGUCAUAAUCAUCAUUAAUAGCUAUCAUAAUUUUCCAGAUAGUAUCAUCAGCUACCAAAAUACAAGCAUGAUCCCACCUCUCAAUGGUCAACCUAUCAAUAACACCAAACAUGAAAUUAUGCCUCGUCAUGGUCCCUAAAUGACCUUCUAUAUGAGGCAUGCAGUAGCAAUUGCCUGACCUUCUUCACCACAUUGGUGGCCUAAUCCAGGUGUCCCUUCACCUUGUGCAGCUCAGUGGCAAUCGCUUUAAGCUCCAUGCGUCUUUGUGCAUUUUUCCUUCCAUAUCCUUGCAUCGUUUUCAACUUUUAGAUUUCUAUUAUCAUUUCCCAUUUUUAGGUGAGACCUCUCUGCAUUGUCUAAUUUUCUUUGCCAUGUUCAUCAGCUCAUUGGUUGUAUCCUAAAGUAUCCUCGCUUCAUCAUGUGAAUCUCAUAUAUUUUGUCAUUGGCCUCCUUCUUAGCAAUUUUCUAUUCUUCUUCCCACGACCUUGGUUCCUCUUUAGCUUUUUCCUUCAUCUUCACCAGCUUGACUAGAAUACUUUUAGUCCUAGCAUCCCAUUCAGGAUCAACCCACUUAAACGCCGUGCAUUUAACCCCUUCAGGCUGCAGACACUGAUUACAUUCAUACAAUUCACCAUUUACAACACUAACAUCAAGAGUACAAGCAAGGUUAGUUUAUUAGAAUUGAAACAAGUUAUCGAUUACCUCAAAGCAGGAUACAUACCGGCACCUAGGGUUGUCAAAUGACCUAUCAUACUUCACAUGGAGAGGAAACCCAUGCUCGCACUUAUUUUUAUGAUGCAAAACGGUAACAUCAGGCGACGACGAUCUAGUGCUCUCAGUAACUCCAAGUUCAACUAGAAGCUAAUAAAAUACAAGAACCUAUCAAAUUAUAAAUUAAUUGCAUCACGAAAGUCAUCAUAACUUGAAAUCAAUAUUUAGCUUUGCACUUCAUAAACUAUAGCCUAUCAACUUAUAACACCAAUCGGAAUGCAAAUCUAAGGGUACGGUGAAAUCAGAAUCUAGUCUGUUCAACCCAGAUCCCCAAAUCCAGAAAUUCCCUUCCCAGCUAGGACAAUAGGGGAAAGUAGCGGCACAUACCAAGAGACUGACCUGACCAUACCUCCUUCUCCUCCCGUCGCCCCUAGGAGCCGCCAUUUCCGCCGCUGGCCAUUGCAGAUUUGUGCACCGACGCUAGCUCUAGUCUUUGCCAUAGCCAACAGGAGCAUGGUGCCGACGUGUCUCUUGCAGUUGUGUACGCCAUAUUGAGAAAUGAGAAAUAUCUAGCCGAUGCUUGGGCCUGCAAUAGGAAUGUGGACCACACUUAUUAGAAGUAAGAUAUAUAUAAUUUAUCCUAUCUAAAAAAUAUACAUAGUUCAUGUCUCAGUGUUAGUGCUGUCUCAGCACAAUCAAGAGGUCACAGGUUCGAGUCUUACUAUGGACACUCAUUUCUUUUAAUUUUCCUUCCUUUUUUCAUCUCAAACUAACAUAACUUACCAAAACUUUUGCCACUAUCUCAUCUGAAACUUACAUGUGGGACCUGGUUGCGGUAAUGAAUUCACAUUCGAUCGGUAAUAGGUUUGACCCAUGGGAGGAGUACGUUUUUCCAUUUUAUUUUACCGCCCUAUUUGUUAGCUUAAACUUACAUGUGGGACCCUCAUUGGUUUAUGACAUUUUUACGGAGCUUAUAUCAUCACAAAACCAUCAUGAAAUAGUGAGUGACGAUUUCUUUUUGGCUACAGUAGCAACUUUUAUGAUGUUCCGUAACUUUAUCACUAAAUUUGCUCGGAUGUAAAACUUUAUGAUGUUUUCGUCAGAAACAUCAUAGAUCUGUGAUGAGAAUAAAUGUGUCAUAAAAUUUUCAUCAUAGAUCAACAUAUUUCUUGUAGUGAACCCUAACUCGCCGGCUUCACUCCCCCGGUCACUCUCCCCUUCUCCUCUUCUCUUCCCAGACCCCGAGCACAACACCGGCGCCGUUGCCUGGAACUGCCGCCUAAGCCAUAGGCUCCACCUUCUCCUCUUCUCUUCCCAGACCCUGAGCACAAUACCGGCGCUGUUGCCUGGAACUGCCGCCUAAGCCAUAGGCUCCACCGCGGGCCCUAUGGUCGGAGGACGUGUGCGACACAGUCGCGCGUGCCUCCAUCCAGGGGCUCCGUCGGGGUGCGGCAACAGCCGGCGAGCGGGAGCGCAUCUGAUGCGCGGCGCGCAUCGGGCGGCGGUCUGGUCGACAAAGACGGCAACUGCCAUUGUUGAGGGCCACUCGAGGUCGUAGUGACCCGUGCGUGGUGGCACUAAUGCUGCAUAGGUGCUCGGGAUGGUGGCCGGAGGCCUGCUGGUCCCGCUGCAUCAGGGUGUGUGCAGCAACUCAAGCCGUGCACACCCUUGCUGAUGCAGCUGGUCGAGGAGCCGGUCGUCGACCACGCGCGGUGACCUCAUGGCACACGUGGCCGGCAGCUGGGUAAGUCCCCUAACACAGAGGGUUCUUCUGAUUUGGGGAUUCUCGAAUUUGGGGAAAAUUUUCUUAUGAAUUUUGCAAUUCGAAUCUUCCCCUCCUACUUGCUGAUGCGCACUUCAAUUUCAUGAAUUGCAUCUAAUUGCACGAACUCAUGGCAUAAUUCAUCAAUCCAUGGUUAAUUUGGGGAAAUAGUGAAACCCUAGCUUCAAUUAAUUUAAAUUAAUCAUCGAAUUAACUAAUUUGCAUCGGUUUGCUUAAUCAUUAAGCAUCAAAUAGGCACAUAAUAAUCUAAUCCGGCGACAUUAUCAUAAUAGAUCAAGAUUCAACUUAAAACUUGGGCUUAACCGAACUAGAUUAGGAUGAAUUGCAUCUGUAACUUGUAGAUUCUAAUUUGCAGUAGGCUAAUUGCACAUAAACAAGCACAGCGGUCUAAUUGCACAUGAAAGAAUUAAAUUUACGGCUAAUUGCACAUAAGCUAGCACGAUUGCAUCAGCACUGUCACUAAUUGCACAUCAAGAACUAAUCUAGGUUUAAUAGCUAACUGAUGCAUAUAAUUUAGGACUGAUCAAGCAUGGAACAGAUCCAUUGUAGGACUAAUGGCACAUGAUGUCGUACUUAAAAUGAAACGGAUUUAAUCUAAUUGCCAUCCAAAUCAUGCUUAACCGAUGCUAAUCAACAUACAACAGAGGCAUUACAUCUAAUUGCUCUGGAUUAGGAUCAUGUCAGAACUAAGUAGGCUCAUGAUACCGAUUGUUAGAAUUAACUUAGUCUAGCAUUAACUUAAAAAGAAUCUUAGCUUAGCGUAAUCAUGAUCACUAAUCAAACUUAAUGUGGAAACUUAGAUUAAACUAACCAGAGCCUGCAGACAGCAUCUGUAGUCGUAGCAGUAGGAUGUAGAUGAAGCAAAACUUUAUCUUCACCAGAUCAGGAGCUUGUUGCUCCUUGUUGAUGAAGAAACUUGAUGUUGAUGACGAACGGUAACCUCCUGGGAUGUCACCCUUGAUGACUUGAUGUAGAUGCUAAUCACCCUCUCAAGAUCAGGGGUUCUUGAUCUGGUGAGGUUUGGAUCUGGAGCUUUCGAUCCCUCCAGUGCUCUAAUUAAUCGGUGUUUAGCUUAAUGAUGAGAUUAGAUUGAUACACGGGCACCCCUCCAAUUCAUAUAUAUAUAUAUAUAUAUAUAUAUAUAUAUAUAUAUAUAUAUAUAUAGGAUUAUACUAUACAAUACCCUGGGUACGGAAUAAUCUAUUCCGUACCCGAGCCUAUCGGUGCGCUCACGCGCGGCCGGUUCAGACGAACUGGUGUUUUCCGAUUUUUAUACCAGCCCAUCCGAACGUGGGUCAUUAUUAGCAGGAACCGCUCUCCAUCCCCGCCGCGCGCCGUCCCUCUCCAUCCCCCGCCGCCGCCGCUCGCCACCCCUCCCCGCCGCCGCCGCUCGCCACCCCUUCCCGCCGCCGCUCGCCAUCCCCCGCCGCCACCGCUCGCCACCCCUCCCUGCCGCCGCCGCUCGCCACCCCUCCCCGCCGCCGCUCGCCAUCCCCCGCCGCCGCCGCUCGCCACCCCUCCCCGCCGCCGCUCGCCACCCCUUCCCGCCGCCGCUCGCCAUCCCUCCCCUCCGCCGCUCUCCAUCCCUCCCCGCCUCCGCUUGCCAUCCCCCGCCUCCCUGCCGCCGCUCGCCUUCCUCCACCGCCGCCGCUCCCAGACCCUAAGCUCGCCGCCCUCCGCCGUCGUCGCGCCCUCUGAUCUUCGCGUCACCGCCAGUCGCCAUCCCUCGCCGCCGCCGCCGCUCGGCAUCCCCCGCAUCCGCCGCUCCCCAACUGCUGGCGGGUAGGGCCUCCACCGCAUUCAUGGAGUCUUCAGGUAUCUGCUAAAUCUUUAGAAAUCUGGACUCAAAUGUUGCAGCUUCUAUGGACACAGCAAUUCAUGAGGUAUCUCAAUUAGCUUCUGUAUACAUUCUGUCUUGCAAUAUUUCUUAACUUGUUUUUCUGAAUUUCCCAGACUGCUCCGACAUUUAUUGUUAGAAGACCCUGCAAACCAUGUGAUUAUCUAGGUUUCGGUGAAACAUGAAAAUUAUCUAGGUUUAACUUUGUAAGAUGUAUUGUUGUGAACCCACAAAUUAUAACUAGAUGACACUGGAUGCCUAGAUAUUCAGCUUUUAUCAUGUUCUUGGUUUCGGAUGCUAAGGAGAACACAAAUUACUUUUGGAGCAUUGUUAUUCAUUAAUGUUUGUCACCUAUAUUAAAAUAGGGAUUAAUGUUUACUUUUCUGUUUUGAAUGCUGUGUACAGCAAUACUUCUUUGUGAUUUCGGGGAGUAUUUCAUGUUUGCUGAAUGUGAUUUUUAUGUUUUCUUCUAAAUACUACAAACUCAAUUCAUCCUUGAUUCGACCAUUGUGGAUAAGAAUUUAAUGCUUUGAGGGAUGAUGUUAAUUUUUUCCUCCUAUUUCUGUCUUAAUUCAAAAAACAUUUACCUGUGUAUCGAUCCAUGCAGCUAUUUUGAAAUAUUUCGGGGCAUACUUCAUGAAGGAGAAAUAGACAAGAGAGUACAAUAUUGAUUGAAGACUAUUUUGCAAUUAGAAAGUUUCAGGUGAAAUUAUACUUGCUGUAACCUGGUGUUUCUUUCAUUGCAUGAUCAUUCAAUGUUCUGAUAAAUGAUUUUUUCCUUAUAGGGAUUCCUUGCCAUCCGACACCAUAGCUCCGUGGCCGAGGCAGUCAGGUGACUGCGCUGACCACCAACAUUUCUUGCAUGUUGCGUGUAUCUAUUUUUGACUGAGGAACUACUAACAAUGUUGAUGCACACUUCGUAUUCGAGUUAAUGCCCCUGCUGGUUGGAUUAAAAACCUAUGAGUGCCUGCAGCUUUGAUUAGGUUCCUGCCUGCAGCUUUGAUCUGGUUACCCAUUUUCCCCAUUCUAUUCUUCAACUCCCAUUCAUUUUGUUUUAGCUCUUGCAUGAGAUGGGUCCUUCAAACUCUUUCUUCUUGAUAUUAAUAUACAUAUUUUUUAAAUUGAUUACUAGUUAAAGUUAUGUAGUAGAGGGCGGACCAGAGUGCCACUUCCGUAGUUGUUAUAUGAACUAGCCGUUGAUUAAUUUUCUGGAAUCCUGUAAGUAUCCAGUAUUCUUAAAUUGCACGUAUUGAACUUUAGGCAUGCCUUUCAAUAUUGAUAUAUCUAUGUAUGUGGUAGCCGAUGUUACAGAUUUAAGGUUCCUAGAUUUUACAGCUUAUAAAUUGUUUGCUUAGGAGUUAGGACACCUUGCAGUGAGAUGGCAUCCAAUAAUCUCUGUUGCUUUGUUCGAUUUGGUUGGCACUACUCUUAAUAAUAAGUCAAUCUAUACAGUUUCUCUAUCCUGGCAGUAGGAGAAAAGUACUAGGAACUGUUGGGUGUUCUAAUUGAAGACUAAGUUUUUUUAAUAUUGUAUGCUAGUAAACUAGUAUGCCAUAUACCCAGCUUUCUAUGAUAACAAUUUGAGAUUAACUGAGUGCCAUGGAUUGUUGUAUUCGAGUUAGAAAAUACUUGCAUCGAUGAGAUCCGGGCGGCGCAGCUGGAAGCCGGCUGGCGCCCCCACCCCUCCUCGGCUUGCAUCCACAUGUUCCAAUUCUUCUGCAAAUGGCUCCGAAACCUGAACCACAUGAUUGGUAAGUAAUUCAGUGCCGUUUUUAUUUUGUUUUCCUGCCCCUAAACAAAAUUUCUCUUCUUAACAGUAGCAAGGUAUCCUAAGCGAACUUUUCAGAGCUAGUGUUGUCUCUUCUUACUGCCUGAUAUUUAUUGACCAUGGGAGAAUCUGAUCAGGUUUGCCAGUCCAAAUCUUGUGCUAGGUGCGGACUGUCGUCCUGCAUGUGGAAAAUCAACGUUAUCUUCUGACUUUAUUCUGAUCUUAUUCUUUUUGGCAGACUGCAACUUCCGGUGUCAUAUAGUGGUGAAGAAAUUCAUUUCUCAUCCAAUUUGCAAUUUCAAUUUUGUUCUUACUAUUUAAUUUCCAUCUUCUCCUACAUGCAGAUCAGAGACGACAUGCAGUACCUGAUUUCCAUUUGUUCAUUAGUAGCAUGGUGGAUGUACUCAUGGGCGGGUUCAGGUUUCUCGAGCUCAGGUUGCUUUGUUGCUUUGUUUGGGACUACUCUUAAUAAUAAGUCAAUCUAUACAGUUUCUGCUGAACAAGUAGAUGUUUUGUUUCGUUAACCACAGUUAGGUGCAACUGUUCUGGGUCUUCUUAGCUUUAGCAAAAAUAUUUGGGUUUUUAUUUGUCUCAGAAGCGAUUAUUGAUUGUGGUUAAAGGAUUCACUCACUUCAAUUGGGAUGUAGCAAAGUUUCUGCACCUAUAUUUCAUUAUUUACAAUUACACAGAAGCUUUUCUAUCCACAUGUCACAUCGUUAUACGCAACCUUUUGCUAUCGUGUUCUAUUGCAGGCUCGGGCGGCAGUGAGUACAAUGAGGUCACAAGCAAACUUCAGGAAUACACUAACAGAGAUUGUGACAAGCUCACUAUGGUCUGCUUCUGAUUAAGACACCAAGAAUUAGUAGUGCAAUGCAUAAAAAAGUUGUACUAUUGUUUAGAUGCCCACAUGUUUCAAUAUGUUGUUUUCACGGUCCGAUUUCAGUCUGUUUGUGUGCAAGUAGGUUACAAGCAAUGUGACUACGAGGCAGAUGACAUUGGUCACAGAGAGGGCAGAGAACGAAGAUUCAUUAACCAAUUAGUAUUCUUGGGACACCUGACUGCUCAGUCCAUUCCGAAAUUCCGUCUCAUGAAAUUGAGACACCUGGUCGCCAAUUUGUAUGGCUAGAUUUAUCACGAAUGUAAAGAUCACUCAGUCGUUGAAUAUUUACUGUACUAGCUCACAUUUCAAUUAAUAAAAAAAGAUAAGUUGGACCGAUAAGUUGGACCUUAAAGACCCUUUGAUAUGAUGAACAAACAUUUUGAUUAAGGAAACAUGACAAUUUCGAUGGUUCAAUCUAAACAUUGGUCUGUUUGAUCAUACAAACUGAAUUCUUGAACCAACAAUUAUACAAUUUUAAAUACUUUUUUAACCAAUGAAUGUUCUAAGGAGCAAAUUUUGCAAUUUUUUUAAAAUUCUGUUAUGUAGUGUCUGCAAACAAAAAGCAAUGCAUGUUCUAUGGAGCAAAUUUUGUAAUUUUUACAAUUCUAUUUUAUAGAAUUUCCAAAUAAUCAGAAGGCUUGCCAUUUAGUGCGUCCUUUUCCAAUGCGUGUUUUUUUCUCGGAAUAGUUUGUAGACCAAGAAAAAAAGAUCUGUACUUCUAGGUGUAAGGAUAUUUGGCCCUUAACUAAUUGCAACCCUUCUGUGAUCUAGCUGUCUUCAACGAAUGAACAUGCAUAAACCUGCAAACACUUGGGCAAACUGAGCUGGGUAGUGGGCUAGGGCGGCUGUUUUUUUUCUUUGUGAGGAAACUGGCCAAUACAAAAACUGCAGAGUGCAGACAGAUGUGGUUCAGCGCGUGGAGAAAAACGGGAAAACAGACCGCACAGACGCACAGUACGUCGGGCGGGGCGAUGCGCGGGAAAAAAAAACCGGGACCCUGUGGGUUGCGGGAGCCCGAAGGAGCGCUCGGACGGGCGCGGAGGUGGUGCUCGGGUACAGAAUAACUUAUUCUGUACCCUGGGUACCAAAUAGCGGAGGCCUAUAUAUAUAUAUAUAUAUAUAUAUACACACACACACACAGUGGUGAAGCUAGAGGGGGGUGCACUUACCUUGUGGGUGCAUAGAGUUUGAUUAUUAGGGGUGCAUAUAUGGUGAAAAAUUAAACAUAUUCACUAUGGGUGCAUUAGCACGCCCUAAUUACUAUAUACAUCCGCCCUUGUAUGUAUGUAUGUAUGUAUGUACGUACGUACGUACGUAUGAUUGAUGAGGCUAAAAUGCACCCAGGUGCAUUCUUAACAUCAAAUGCAUAGACCCACCGCACAUGCCGCAUGCCAUUAACCAAAGGAAGGUCCGUCGCUUGUGCAUGCAAAAUUAAAUGGAGGCAACCAACCACGUGACACCACCUCACACCUCAACCCACCCACCAGGAUGCAUGCAUGUAUGCAGGAAAUCUUUUCUUGAUUCGAAACGAAAAAAUGCGAUAUGUCCUAGACCACAUAUCCGAUUUUUAGAUCCAUUUGAAGGAGGCUGUUGGAAAUAAUGUGCUUAACAAAACAAGAUCCACGAAGCCUAUAUUUGAUGAUGUUUUUUCAAGCACGUAAUUACAAUAUGUGGUACAGUGAGUUGCAAUCACUUCUACAACACAAUUGCAACUUGGUUGUAGCGUAAUUUAGCACUGGUUAUAACUAGUUAUAACAUCUUGUAACCUUGUUACUUGUAGUUGCAAUUAGUUACAACUCAGUUGCAAUGCAUUUACUACUCUGAUUGCAACCAGCACUACGGGAAACCUCAAAUUUGCCAAGUAUUUUUUUCCGGACACUCGGCAAACAAGGGGCUUUGCCGAGUGCCGAGCUGAAAACACUCGGCAAAGAAAAAAGUUUGCCGAGUGUUUUUUUUGACACUCGGCAAAACAAUAACUUUUUUCUCUUUUCACCUUGAAAAGUUUUCUACUCCCCACAUACAACAUGUGGUACUCCAUAUUAAAAUUUGGUAUAUUUUUGGAUUUGUUUGCUAUAUUUAAUUAAUUAAUUGCCUUUCAAGGAAAUUUUUGGUGUAAGUCAAAUUUGAACUGCAAGUGAUUCAAAUUAUAGAAUAAAAUGAGUAGAAAAAUAAUAUUCAUGUUAUUUAGCCUAAUUUGAGACCUGACUCGUGAAAUGAAAAGAAAUUUUGAACAUUUUGUUCAGGAAAUACGACCACGAUGUGUGGCCGAAUGAUUUUUAAAUUGUAAAAAAAGCAAGCGAAGUCUGAAAAUAAUAAGAUUUUUCAUGAUGUGAUAAUAUCAUACAUGAAGGCUGUGGUAAAAAAUUGAGAAGGUUUCGCACAUUUCAUCACGUACGAUGUUUACAAACCGAAGCAUCUCAGAAGAAGAAUAGUAGCGUUGAGAAGGAUUCGAUAAUAUUUGGAGUCAAAGUGAUGGUCGAGUUUUGGUUUGACUACAAAAGUUUUUGUAUAGUCAAUAGAGAAUAUAUAUUAUUUCAUGUGAAAUUUUGGUAAAGUUUUGGAAUCGUUAGAUAAUUUUAAUGUAUUAAAGGCAAUUAUAGAAUUUUAAUUCAUAUAAAUUGAAUUUGAGCUAUAACCGCAUAAAAUCAUGGAAUAAUAUGAGUAAAACAAUCAAAUAUAUAUUGUUGAGUGAAUUUGACGAAGUAUUUUCAAAGUGUAUCAAAACAAAUGUAGAAGAAAGUGUUACGAAAAAGAAGGAAAAAUGAAAAAAACAAAGGGUUUGCCGAGUGCAUUCUUUUUUCCACUCGGCAAAAAAAAGGAAAAAAAACUUCCAUAGCAUCCCCUCCCUUUAACAGCAGGCGAAGCCCCCCAUCCCUCCCGGCCCCCCCCUUUCUUCUUCCGCACCCCCUCCGCCUUCCCCACUCCCUCCGCCUUCUUCCCCACCCCCUCCCCUUCACCCGCCCCAUCUCACCGGCGGUCGGCCCCUCACCUCCCUCUCUUCCCCGGUGCCAGCCACUCCAUCUCCUUCCCCGGUGCCCCCUCUCUCUCCCGAUGGCCAGCCCAUGCCCCUCCCCAGAUCCUCCUGGCCAUGCCUCAGCUCCUUCCCAGAUCUGCCCGCCCGGCGGCCUCCCCUCCCUCUUCGGUGCGGGCGCCGCCCCGUCCCUGCUCCUCUCUGGAUCCGGCCGCCACCGCUCCCCCUCUCUCUCCCAGUGGUGGUGUGGUGCUGGUGGUGGUGUGGCACGGCGGGAGGUGUGGUGGUGCUGGUGGUGGCGAUGGCGGCGAUGGCAGCGGGAGGCGUGUUGGUGGUGGUGGUGCGACGCGUUCGUGCAGUUGGUGGUGGUGCGCUCGAGGCCAGUGGUGUGAGGCGUGUUGGCAGCGGGAGAGGACGGCGGCGCGGGCCAGUGGCGGGGCGUGGUGCGGGCGGUGGUGGUGUGCUUGGUGGAGGUGCGGGCGUGGUGCGGGUGGCGUGGUUCGAUGGCAGCAUGGGAGGUGGAGCCGGCGAGGAGGCCGACUUGGUGCUGGUGGUCGUGGUGCUGGCUGAGCAGACGGUGGUGGUGGCGGCGGUGGAGCAGGAUGUGGUGGUGGUGGAGCACGAUGUUUUUCUUAUUUUUUUCGAAAAAUCUUUGCCGAGUGUUUGCCAGGUGCCCGACAAAAAACACUCGGCAAACUUUUGUUUGUUGAAGGAAUUUUUGUCGUGUGCGGUGUGCGAGUGUAACACUUGGCAAACACUUUGUCGAGUGUUUUUGGGGUUUGGCCGAGUGCAGGCACACAGCAAACCUCCUGAUUCCCGUAGUGCAGGUAUGCUUUCAACUUCUUUUGAAUAGAAUUGCAACCGGUUAUCAUGGGUUGCAACCAGUUACAACCUAAUUGUUUUCCAGUUGUUACUAGUUGCACUAAGUUACUAUCCGGUAGUAAAGCUGAGUUAAUACUAGUUGUAACUCAUUACUACACAAUCAAUACUUUUUGCAACGAGUUACUACUAUCCAAUUGCAACCUAGUUACUCUUUAUUGGAACUAGUUACUACGCAUUUUCAACACAAUUGUUACUCUGGUUGCAACAAGAUAUGAUUGCAACUUAGGAUUGCCACCUGACAUGAUCAUAGUGACCUCAUGCAAAUAAUACACAUAGUUAUAACUAGUUACAACUUGGUGGUAGACAGAGUUGCAAUUGAUAGUACAUAGAUAUGAAACUCGCUUAAACGAUAAAAAAUAUAUCCAUAUUGGAGCUAGUUUUGUUAAGCAUAUUUUUUAUAGGAAUGCAACAAACUAUUUGUCAAUCGGGGUUACAAUUUAGGAGAAAAAUUGCUUCAAAUAUUCGAACCAACAAAAUGUUACAUGCAUGCAUGCAUGUAGUCUAGUGGGAUUUGUAUGCUAGGUGACUUCACGUGGUAGGUGGAAGAUACAAAUUAACUUAGGAAGCACGCACCGUAUGUUCGGUUGGGUGCGCUGGUUGCUCCAACCUAUUGCGCAUGCCAGCUAGAGUGCAUUCUACGUACAGGAUGCACUUAGGUGUAUUAUAGCAAAACAGCGUGUGUGUGUGCGCAUGCGCGUAUGUGUAUGUCUACACACACGGAAUGGGUGCGACGUAUGGAUGUGGUGGCAACCGCUGCGUCCGUACGCCGGACAGUGAUGUCGUUCUGAUAACCAAUACACCAAUGGAUGGAUGGAUGAGAUCAUUUAAUCUUAUGUUUUGUAACACUCCCCCUUGAUCAAAUCUAGCUUUGAUCAUCCUCCAAUUAGUAGAUUUAUUCCUUCAAGAUAUCUGUUAAGAAAUCUGUGAAAUAUAUGUAGAUAGAUAUAUUAAGUAAAACUCCUCAAAACCCGAUGGGAAAAUAAGGAGAAUAAUCAUGAUAUAUAAAUGUUUCUUUGAAUCCCUGUGAGUGAAGCUCAUAGUGUAGUCCAAAGAAUUAUAUGCUUAUACUCAUUAUUGUUAAAAACUCUUGUGGGGAAAAAUAAAUGAUGAAGCAUGUAGCUUAUGUUCAUAUUACCUCAUUAAAAACUUUGGAUGAGAAACCCGAAAGGGGAAAAACUGAUACAAAGAAAAGAGUGUAAUAUGAUAGCAUAACAAGUUAUUUAUCAGAGAGAGAUACUCCCCCUGAUUCUUGCAAGUCUUUGAGUUGUGUCAUACCAAUCCCCUCAACACAUUUUGAAAUGAAGAGUAUGGUAAAGACUUUAUAAAUAAAUUAGCAAGAUUAUCACAAGACUUUGUCUGCAAGAUGUUUUUGUCCCCAUUUUGCUGAAGCUCAUAAAUAUAAAAAAAUUUAUGAGCAAUAUGUUUGGUAAUAUUGCUUUUAAUAUAACCUGUUUCCAUCUGAACAAUACAAGCAACAUUAUCUUCAUAGAUAAUGGUUGGUGAUUCAAGUGAACCAAUACCACAAGAUGUAAGUAUGUGGUUUACCAUUUUGCGAAGCCAUACACACUCACGUGAUGCUUCAAAUCAUGCAAUUAUUUCAGAAUGGUUGGUGGAUGUAGCUACCAAAGUCUGUUUGGAAGACUUCCAUGAAAUACAAGUUCCACCUUGUAAGGAAACGAAUCCUGUUUGCAAUCUGGCAUUGUGGGGAUCAGAUAAGUAGCCAGCAUCGGUAUACCCAAUCAAAGUCAGAUCAUUAUUCCCCUUGAAGAAGAGGUAAAGAUCUUUUGUGCCAUUGAGAUAUUGAAAGAUAUUCUUAACUCUAGUCCAAUGACGUUUGGUAGGAGCAUCGCUAUAUCUUGCUAGCAGGUUUACUACAAAAGCAAUAUCCGGUCGGGUGUUGUUAGCAAGAUACAUAAGCAAACCAAUAGCACUAAGAUAUGGGAAUUCAGCUCCAUGUUCCCUUGGUCUAAAUGGGUCUUUCUCUACGUCUAGAGAUCUGACUACCAUGGGAGUUUUAGAUGGAUAUGAUGUAUCCAUAUUGAAUUUCUUCAAUAUCUUUUGGGUAUAUACACUUUGGUGCACAAGGAUUCCUGAAGGUAAAUGCUCAAGUUGUAGACCUAAGAAAAAUUUGGUUUGACCCAAAUCCUUCAUUUCAAACUCCAUCAUAAAAUGAUGACGUGCUUCAUCAAUAUCCAGUUCAUUGCCAAUGAUAUUAAGAUCAUCAACAUAGACUGAGAUAAUGCAAAAUCCUAUGGGGGAUUUUUUUUAAUGAAGACGCAAGGGCAAUCAUCAUUUUUAGUGUAUCCCUUAUGUAGUAGGAAUUCACUUAAUCAAUUGUACCACAUCCUGCAUGAUUGUUGUAAGCCAUAAAGUGGCUUCUGCAACUUAACGCAAUACAUUUUGUGAUUUGACUUAGGAUUUGGUACAUCGAUUCCAUCAGGAACCUUCAUGUAUAUAUCAAAAUCCAAUCCAGUGACCCAUAGAGGUAUGCAGUCACUAUGUCCAUCAACUGCAUAGAUAGAUGGUUUUGUACUACCAAUGAUAUUAAAUAUCGGAAAGUUAUUGCACUCAUGACUGGAGAGUAAGUCUCGUUGAAAUCAACACCGGGUCUUUGCGUAAAACCCUGUGCAACAAGCCUUGCCAUAUAUCUCACCACCUCAUUAUUUUUGUUCCAUUUUCAGACGAAAACCCACUUCUAUCCCACAGGAAAGAUAUCAUGAGGGGUAGGCAUUACAACUGAGAAUACUUCACUUUUGUAAAGCGAGGCUAACUCCGCUGCAAUUUGCAUCCUUCCAUUUGUUCCGGUCCAAGCACUUUUGGCACUCUACCAUGGAUUUAGGAUCUAGAUCAGGUUGAACGAAUUCAACAAUUUUCUCGGAGAAAUAUGUGUCGCAAUUGUAGAUUUUCUAUCAAAAGUCUACCUAGUCUCAACAAAGUUAAUGGCAAUUUCAUCUACCCUUUUAGACUCAUCGUGACUUCCCGAAAUGAUAUGUCUAGGGUCUUCUGUUGUCCCAGUCUCAGCAAUGCGCACCACUGAGCUAGGCCGCGGAUCAACACAAUCCACUUGAUACGAAGUAUCCAUUUGGUGAACGUCAACUGAAGGUUAACUUGCAUUCACCAUCUUUAUUUGCUUGCUAGCAUUAGUAUUUUGCUUGGUGGCCCUACUUCUCUGUCUCUUAUUGUUAAGUGGGAGUUGAGUGGUUUUAUUUGGUACUCCACUCUUUCUAGCGCAUUCCGAGUAGGAAUGAAAGAUUUAGUGACACCUUUGUAAUUGGUGAAUGCAUCUGGCAGUUCAUUUGCAAGUUUUUGCAAAUGUAUGAUCUUCUGAACCUGUAGUUCAGUUUCUAUAGUAUAUGGAUUAGAGGAUGGAAUACCUUGAGCAUUCCAAUCAAUUUGCUAGCGUUCUUUAUUGUACUUGAAGUCUCCCCCUAAUGCCGGGAAAUGUUCCUUAUCAAGAUAGAAUUGACAUACUGCGUAGUAAAUAGAUCUCCCAUUAGGGGUUCUAAAUGCUUAAUGAUCGACUGAGAUCGAAAUCCCACAUAGAUCCCCACUUUCCUAUGUGGGCCCAUAGCGGUAUGAUGAGGUGGUGAGAUUGGGAUGUAGACAACACAUCCAAACUUAUGCAAAUGGGAAAUACUUGGAGGAUUUGCACGUACUAACUGCAUUGGGGAAGUAUCAUGAUAUGCAGUUGGUCGUAGUUGGACAAGGUUGGCUGCAUGCAGUACUGCAUGACCCUAACAUGACGUAGGCAAUUUGCAAUUCAUUAAAAAUUUUUUUGCAAUGAGCUUGAUCCAUUUGAUCAACGAUUCAGCCAAACCAUUCUGGGUAUGGACAUAUGGAACAGAGUGCUGAACUUGAAUUCCCAAUGCCAUAAAAUAAUCAUUGAAAGCAUGAGAGGUGAAUUCUGCAACAUUGUUCAUACGGAUUGAUUGAAUCCUAUGUUCAGGAAAAUUUGCCUUCAACUUUAUGAGUUGAGACAUUAUUUUGGCAAAUGCAUGGUUGCGUGUUAAAAGUACACACACGUGUGACCAUCGAGUAGAUGUGUUAAUCAAAACUAUGAAAUACUUGAAUAGUCCAGAAGUCGGCACAAUCGGACCAUAAAUAUCUCCUUGAAUUCUUUCAAGGAAUUUAAGUGGUUCAGCCUUGAUUUUGAGAGGAGAUGGCCUCAAAAUCAAUUUCCUAGUGGCACAUGCAGUGCACACAAAAUUGGAGGAUUUCAGAAACUUUGCAGUGAGUAAACUAUGACCAAUAGAAUUGCCGAUAAUUUUUCUCAUCAUCCCUAUUCCAGGGUGCCCAAGUUGAUCAUGCCAUGUGUGGAAUGGAUCGACAUUCUGAAAAAUUACCUAAUAUGCAACAUGUGCAAUGGGCUUAAUGUAUCUAUAGUACAACCCAGAUGAGAGUGAUGGAAUUCUUUCGCAUGUGCGUUUGCCAUAUCCAUUUUUUUUAGUCAAGAGAAGAAAUUCUUCUUGAUUGUCCUCAUGGGUUUCAACAUGAAUCCCAUUUUGAUGGAUAUCUCUAAAACUAAGUAGGGUAUGAGUUGAAUCAGUGUACAAGAGUGCAUCCUCAAUUGUAAUUUGUGUACCCAUGGAGAGUGUAAUAGUGGCUCGACCAGAUCCAACUAUUACAACAUCACGUCCAGCGAUGGUCAAAACUUUUCCAUCUCUCUUCUUGAGAGUCUAAAAAUAUUUGAGCUCCCUAAGUGUAGAGUUUGUGGUACAUCUGUCCACAAGGCAUAAUUCCUCCUCUGUUGAAUUGACAUCAUGAGACAUCUGCAGUGAAACAAGAAAUUCUAGUUAAGAAUUCUUUAUUCAACAUAUAGAUAUACAUACAAUUAUUGAACAUCAAAUACACAGUAUGACGUUACAAUACAUAUGAGUUUGUACGACUCAAAGUACAUGAGUGCGCACAUCUCAAAUAACUACCAAUUAUUACAACUGGAAUUAGAGGUACAACUCAUACAAUGAGUUUGUACAUCUCUACUUAUUACAACAUCAACAUAUGACAAAUAUAGAACAUCAACAACUGACUCGAGAUAAUAUGACUGAUGGUAGAUCAAUCCUUCAAGUGGAUCAUGACACUGAGAUUACUCUAAAUAUCCAAGUGGAUCCUUCGAGAAGCACUCGAGGAGCAUGCUAUCAAUAGGAUCUUCUUCUGGAAGAGUGAGCAUGCCAGCAGUUGCAACGGGGUUCUCUUGAGGAAGAGUAAGGUUGUUCUACAAUUCAGUAGGAGCCUGCUGAGAGCUUCCAACCUCCGGUGUAGCCUCAGAAAGAUUGAGUGAGCUUCAUAUCUUGGUUUGUCAAACUUUGGCUUCUUGAGGGAUUUUUGAUAUAGAAGAACUAGAUGUGGUGGGCAACGGCACUGUUUAGCAACAUGAUUGUCACUACCACAUCUGUUGCAAUGCUUGCGGCUAUUGCCAUGAGGUGGUGGUGUUGUUCCCUUUCCUUUUCCUCUCUUAUGGAAUUUGCACCUAUUGUUGAAUUUUUUACCAGCCGAAUUCCUGGAGAAGUUAUUCCCCUUGAAUUCCUUCUUAUUAUCAGCAUUAUUAUGAACAUUGUAGGCAAAGGAGCAGAAGCCGAAGGGCAUUGAUGAGCAUUCUUUAAAAGAAGCUCAUGAUGUUUUUUUGUCUGAGACAAUGUAUGAAUAAGCUGAGAAUAUUGCUGGAAGUUGCUUGAGCGGUAUUGCUGGUGCAAUAUCCUGUCCUCUAGAAGCAUAGUAGAUAGAGUUUUCUCUAUCUUUUCUGCAUCCGUUGGCUCUUUCUCGCAAAAUUUCAAACUGGAGCAAAUGCUAUGAAUAGCAUGAUUGUAGUCUGCAGUAGAUUUGAAAUCUUUCAGGUGAAGGUGAUUCCACUCAUGAUUGGCUGGAGACCAAAUGAGUUACUUCUGUUGUUCAUAGCGCUCUUUAAGAGCCUUCCAUAAAGCAAGUGGGCAUCUUUCCAUUAGAUACUCUUGUUUGAGAUCUUUAUGGAUGUAGAGCCUGAGAAGAAAAAGAGCAGAAUUUUUUUUUGUCUGUGAUGGGGGGAGCUCAACAAUCCCACGAGAAGCAAAGUUAAUUUUGAUGUCCGAAGCCUAAGUUGGGUAGUUGUGCCCAUCAAGAGCGAGUUCAUAAAACUCUUUAUUUGCCAUAUCCCUACAAUUAUAACCAUGGAUUACAAUUAAUUUAUGGAGGUAAAUUAAGAAUCACAAUGGUGAUGUUGUAAGCUCAAAUGCAAGAAAUCACAUAUGAUAUGAGGGAAAUGUAGGUAGAAGACCAUACAUUAGAAUUAAUAUUUUGAGAAUUAGUAAGCACAUUAUAGAUAAUCUCUAAAUUAAUGGAGUAGAUCUCCUAGUAGUGGGCAAGUAGCUCGUUGCCUAAAAGAAUGGUCUCUAGGUUGAUAUGUUCAAAAAGAAACAUACCACAGCCAAUGCCUAGGUCUCCACUACCAUAUACUUAACUAAUUACCAAAAUCAAAUUCCAAUAGCCUCACAUAUUCACUUUGGAAAGCAUGUAUAGGCAAUCAUCGGAAAGAUGUAGACCUCUUAGCGAUGGGCAAGAAACUUGCUACCUAAAAGCACGAUCUCAAGGCAACUAAAUUAUAUAAAAGAACUUAGCCUAGCCGGUGCCUCAGUCUCCAUCACCCUAUGUUCCAAUCCCAAGAUAAAUAUAUGUAAUUUCUUUUGCAUGAGAUCCAGGAUAAUUAAGGGCAACUUAAUUAAAGAUGUGCUAAGUUAUAAUUCAAUAUUUGAAAGAAAAUUGCAAAUUAAAACAAAGCAAGUAAGUGGAGUAUGUCUUAGAAAAAUGGGAAGGCAUAAAUACUAAAACAUGUGCAGUAAUUCAUAAAACAUAGUCUAAAUUGCAUAAAGGACAACAUCAAGGGUGUAAACACUAAAGUACAUAGACACGUAUGUACAAUUACAGAUCCGGUGAGCCCCUCAGGCCCCCUCAUCGGAGGAGGAAAGCGUGCGGCCACCCACGCCGUUGAGGAGGUGGUGAUGGCCGGUGGGGAUGAGUCCUGACCAACGGUUGUCUGCUAUGGAGGCGUCGCGGCGGUCAGAGCUCUGGCCGGCCAACGUGGUCGGGCCUGGGAAGGAGGCGGCCAGCUCCCAUUUGCGUGCCGCAACAGUGCCCCCUGAGCCAAAGCCUGACAGCACUGGGGAGGAGAAACAGCGGUGGCAACGACCAGUGAUGGGAGAAGGGGCCCGCGGAGGGGGCGAAGGCGGCAUGACCUCCAUGGGCUCCACCUCUGGUGGCUCGACAACGUCGACCUGCUCCGGGGCUGGCGGCGACUCCAAAGCCAAGGGCAUGGCGCACAGAACCGAGUGCAAAGGCACUACUGCAGUCCAUCCAUGGACGACGCAGAAGUGCAUAUUCUGCACCUAGACACGACGUAGUGGGUCAACGGCCGGUGGCGGCUCACUCGGACCAGCCCCGGCGCUCGGCCUUGCUCUGUCCACGUGGUAGUUGAAACUUUGGUGAUCAUCGACGCUCAUGCGCGUGCCGCGACGGCAGCGUGCAGCACGGGGGCCAAGAGGAGCAGCAACCAUGGCAUUCCAAUCGAGGAGGCCACGGCACACACCACCAGGCGUCAUGCCGUGAUGGAUGGCCAGGGAGCGGUGUACCGAGUGGUUGAGGAGGUGCUGGAGACGGCGAGCACAAAGGUGGCAAGGAAGAUGAAGAACGGAAUCGAAAAGGACGUCAAUGGUAGGGAUUGUACCUUCAAGUGCUGGAGGCUGAGGCCUCGUUGCUUUUCUCUACGAUUUCCAACUUCUCCUUCUUCGUCUCGAUUGCUUUUCUUUCGGAGCAGUGCUAAUAAUGUGUUUGAAGUAAUGUAAAACGAGAGAGACAAUGAACGAGAGGGAAUGGAUCGGUAGUUUCAUUGAUUCAAUCUUUCAUAUAAAUCGACAGGGAAUGGGUGCGACAUAUGGACGUGGUGGCAACCGCCACGUCCGUACGCCGGAUGGUGAUGUUGGUUCUGAGAACAGAUACACCGAUGGAUGGAUGGAUGAGAUCAUCUAAUAUCAUGUUUUGUAACACCUUCUGUCCUCAGUUUCUCCUUUGACUAGCUCUUAUAUACUCUAUCGUCAUUUUCUCCUUUUACUAGCUCUUAUUAAAUGUUUGGAAAGCUUGGCGCCUUUUUUUAAAUAAAAACUUUUCUUUUGUUCGCGCUAGAUUGCACAGCAUGGUUUGUCUCGUUGUCGGCUUUCUGUUCUUAUUUUUUUUACUUUUUUGUAAUAAUUAUAAGAGAAAUAAAGAUUUGUUGAUUCGUAACCACACAUUGGCAAUAUGUAUCACAUUUUCCGCUCCCCCAAACAAAGCUUGGGAUCAUUUUUACAACAUAUUUUAUCUAGCUUGGGAGAGCAAGCCACACAAUUUUUUCCGUAAUGGAUUCAUGGGACCUACGCAUACGGUUCAAAAGAAAUCUUGCUGCUCUAGAUUGUAAAUUAUUUUGACUUUCUAGAUAGAUUGUAAAUCGUUUUGACUUUCUAGAUGUAUUAUAUAUCCAAACAUUGCACUUGCAUAGAAAAAAUUAUAAAUUUAAAGAAGUUAAAAUAACUUACACUUUAAAAAUAAAGGGAGGUGGUCCGGGAGCUUCCGGUGCUCCCGUGCAUUUGGUACAUCUAUUGGAAUCGUGGAUGGUCCAGAUGCAACCAAUAUGUCUAUGUGGACUGCGGGUUGGAUUUGGGGAAAGUGCAGGGAUUAAAAUGCAAAUUGCAUCAUCGAACAUUGGUUUCAUCUCAUCCAUCCAAGAUGCAUCCAAUGGAUGUCAUCUACCUGGUGCAUGGGAGCACAAGAAGCUCCUGGUGUACAGGAUCCUCUUUCGAGAGUAUAAUUGUGGUGAACCAAACUAUAAAACUUAACUAAACUUGUCUAAGUUGUACCAACACGUCGAUCAUUUCCAAGUUUGCUAAGUGGCAAGCAUCGUAAAUGUUUCUUUUGUCCAGAUUACAAAGAUUUAUGUGUUAAAAUUCCAUUUCUAAUUUCUGGCAAAGUUCGGUUAUAAAAGUCGUUUCAUGUCAAUUUUUUAAACAUCUCUAGCAACUUAUUUAUGGCCCAUAUUAAUAACAAAUUGAUUGGUUUUUCAGAUGUUAAGCUUACGAUAAAUUGGACUAUAUUAGUAUAACCUCUUUAUGCAAGAGAGCCUUACUUUGUCGCAUAGUUGGCUAUAACAUAGUAUGUGUUGACAACAAAAACUUGCUGGUUAGCGACUGACUGCCCUCGAGUUUCUUUGUUUCUACUGUUUCGAUGACGGUGUUUCUUCCUCCUCUCUUGUUAGAAAGAGAUCCUAAAAGGAGAGCCGAGGAAUUUUGCAUAAAGUAUCCGGAGGAUACAAGGUUGAUAUAGUCCUUUAAUUUUUCUUCAUAUUACAAUAGGCACAUAACUAUAUUUGACAUAAGAAAAGGCUUCCGUCACAGCACUCAGGCCUAUCAGCAUGACGGCGCCUUCCAAUAUUUAAAUAUUGAAUGUUAAAUGAUACAGAUGGUCUGUACACUAAACGAUUAGAUUUUAAAAUAUAACUCGAUUAAUAAUAUAAAAAUAUUUAUUAAAUAUUGAAAUUAAUAGUUAUUAAAAAACAAUUAUUGCGGCCUUGGGGGAGAAGAGGGCCUGGUCCUGGCUUCCUGCUUGGAAGGCACACUCUGUCUGGAGUCUGGAGCCAUUGCGAAUUUGCAAGUUGCGACCCAACCGAGUCGACCACGGACCACUCGUUCCGUUUCAGCUCUAGCGGCCUCUCCACCCUUCUUCGUCUCCCUCCAUCCAAGACGCUUGCUUCCACCACCGCGGUUCCACCUCUCUAUCUCUCACUCUCUCGUCUCAUUCCCUCAACGGUGCGUGCAGUGGUGAUCCACCAAGACCGGCAUAACUGAUUCCCUCUUUCCUUGGUGAGUAAGCUCCUGCUUGCUUGGACGGAUUGCUGAUUUUUCUCUGUAUAAUCCAUCUCUUGUGCGAGCCCUCAAAUCCAAAUCUUUGCUUGUGGAAAUGAAUGCUCCAGGGCAUAAUACAUCUUCCUGCGCCGUGGAGUGUUACCUUCUGCUCCCUUUCUGUGAGGCUAUGGUGGUUCUCGCGAAGCUCGGGGCGCCAAGCACGCCAGGUCAGUCUAGGCGCUAACCUUAUCCUGUCAGUCUUGUGUGGCCUGUUUUGUUUAUUCUCCGCAGCCAGCAGUAACUGGAAGCAGUCAAUGUGCAAUCACCUUUUCGCGUCUAUGCAUUGUAAUAAUAAGGAUUGGGGAAAAAAAUUAAACUUUGCUAUACGCUCUCUGUAAUGUGGCUUCAGCUUCAACUUGAACUGAUUGAUGAUCGGCAUUCUGAAUUGGGCACAAUACUGAUCUCGCUAAAUAGUGGGAUUAGAACAUUUUUUCUCAUAUGCCAUGUCGAUUCAGGUAUAUACAGUCAGAAUGUUGACUCAUUCACAACUUAAUUUCACAGGGGAAUUUACCUCAUAUGUAAUUUAUAAUCUGAAUUGAGAUGCUAUGCAUACCAACGAAAUAGAUACAAGUAAUUUGGAGAAACUCCCUCGCAAACUGUAUUUCAUAGAUGAAAGCAAUAUGCAAUCCAAAUCCUGUGUAGACGCUACUUGGGUUCCACUAAGACUAUCCUGAAUUACUUGUGUACAGGUUUUAUGAUGGACAGAAGGAGACUGAUGUUGAUCCCAGCAAUCACCAUUGGCAUAGGCUCCUGUCAGUACACGUUUGAGAAGGGAGCAGCGAAAGCUGAAUUUGCUGAUAGUAAGUCUCCCUAUCUUCAUUGGAUUACAGACAAGGCCAUAUGAUCUUCAAUCAGUAAUAGCUUUCUGUUGGCAUGUCGUCAUUGGAAUGAUCCAGUUAGUAUAUUUGUAUGACUGAAACUCUUUGUACUGUGUGAGACAAACAGAGGGGUGACAUAUAUGGCUAACUGCUUUGCCGCUAUGUAUUCAAGCUUCUUUAGUGUGCAUUUGUUGUUCUAACAAGAAAGUGUAGAAGCAAUCUUAAAAAUAGGCAAUCAGACCUUACUCAACAAUCCAAUUUCAGUGCCUGCACUUCGAGGUAAAGAUUAUGGAAAGACAAAAAUGCGGUAUCCAGAUUACACUGAAACAGAAUCAGGACUCCAGUACAAGGUGCCCUUACCGCCAUCCGCUGAUUUCUUGUUUCCUAUAGAAUGCUUAAACGAUCAGAACAUUGCAUUCAUUAUUGUCAUGACAAAACUACAGGACUUGCGGGUUGGUGAUGGCCCUUCCCCAAAAAAUGGGGAGACUGUUGUGGUGAGUUACAACCCAUUACAUAUGAAUGUACAUGUAGCUCAUUUCGAUGCUGUACAUGUGUUAUCUGUAGAGUUGUGCCAAGCGUCAACCCUGAUGAAGGUUUGAAUUUGUUUACUCCUCAAGGUUGAUUGGGAUGGCUAUACAAUUGGAUACUAUGGUCGUAUUUUUGAAGCUCGGAACAAGACCAAAGGAGGUUCGUUUGAGGUAUCAAUUGCCACCAUAUUUUACAGAAAAUUGAGUCUUUGUAGCUUUCUUACAAGUUCAAACAAUCAUUUGAUUUAUUGAACUAGCUGAAGUGAUCAGAAGAAUUGUGUUGUUGAUGUUUAAUUAUGAAGGACAUGAUUUUUUUGUGCCUAUGAGCGUGCUAUGCUUCAUAAUUUAAAUUCAAAUCUCAAAUGGUGUAGCUCACAUUUCAAUACUCCAAGAAAAGUGAACGAUAAAUGGGAAGCAUACAUGCAUAUUUUCGUCCCAAUUUAACUGAUACAUCAUUCUGCAAUCAUAAAUGUCAGGGUGGUGACAAAGACUUCUUCAAGUUUAAGGUUGGAUCAGGGCAGGUAAUUUACUACUUUAGGCAGUACUGAUCACCUUUUUCAUAUCAUACUACCAAUCAAUUUUGGUAGAGUGCUACAUUACCAUGUCCAUAACUGAAACUGAUCCUUUUCCAAAACAUUGGCUAUGAUAAUUUCAAAGGAUAAUUGUGAAACAGACUACUAACGGUUUUGCAGUUCUGUGAGCACUGUAUGAAAGGGAAUGUUCUGUCAGUGCCUGUCUCAUUGGUACCUUCCUUUUUUUAACAACGUAGGUCAUACCAGCUUUUGAGGAGGCUAUAUCAGGCAUGGCUCCCGGAGGAGUUAGGAGGUAAGGUGGCUUCGAUGCAUUUUCCAAAAGUUCAUCUUGCAACUUGCAAAAUGUACUAUUGAAUUGCUCACCCACUUUAGGAUAAUUGUACCACCGGAUCUUGGGUACCCAGAUAAUGACUACAACAAGUUGGGUCCAAAACCAACGACAUUCUCGGUAAAGCAUUUUCCUGAUUUCACAAGUUAUCCUCAUCAGUGUUUGUUUGAAUCGGGUUCAACAUUUAACAAUUGUCUUCCAGGGACAAAGAGCUCUUGAUUUUGUUCUACGGAAUCAAGGCUUGAUAGACAAAACUCUGCUAUUUGACAUUGAGCUUCUCAAGAUAAUUCCAAAUCAGUAGUAUAUAAGGUUCCUUUCUCACUUGGAAAAUGAUUCUAUCUUGCAUUGACUUCUCUUGUUUGUCCAUAGUUUGGUAACAUAGCCAAAGAUUACAUUUUGCAGGUAUGACGAUUAUGCCUGGAAGAAAGGAGAACAUCUUAUUCACAUCGAUCCAUUAUUGAAGAACUGUGGUAAAAGGAUAUACUGUGUGUCUGUGUGAUCAAAUGUGAAAAGAAAUUUGCUAGGCGUAUGUGCACCUACGUAAUGAUGUGAACAUAUCUACGUACAUCUCCACUAAACAUGUCUCUUUUGAAAAGAUGUGUAUGCAGUUUUCCACCACUGAAGCUGUAUUUAGAUACCUCUCUGGUCACCACUACUGAGCGUAUAGAGGAAGUGAUCAGAUGGCGAAUUGCUGAAAGGAACAACAGCAUUGUAGCUGCAAAAGUUGUAAAUACCAAAAUCUUGCCUCCAUCUAUCUUGAGUAAUUCCUUUGUAGCCUAAUAACAUGGUUCUCGUGGAAUUAUUGAAACUUGAGAAUUGAUUGAUUGGAUCGCGGAAUCAGCAAAGGAGUCAUGAGAAAGAAGGUAAUGCUAAUUGCUAAAGCUGAAAUCGAGGCCUCCGCUGUUAGGUUCACUUCAUUGUUAUUUUGGUACUUCACUUUGUGGGUCCAUAGUUUGAUUUUUUUUAUUUUAACCUUUUUAAAACUAAAAUUUUUAAAAUAACUCACAAUAAACUAAAUUUCCAAUAAGUAGCCCUUUUGGCCACACAAGUUCCAUAGUGCGACUCAUAACUGAGUCACGUCACGUGUAAUGACUUACCAAAAUGCCAUGUUGAAGUACUUUUUAUGUGGCGCUGACGUGGUCUCACGAGUCAAAGGCUAGUCGCGCCAAAGGAGCUAGCGUGAUUGCUGAGUUAAGGGGUGUUUGGAUCUUUAGUCCGGACUAAAAUCAUGUCACAUCGAAUAUUCGGAGGCUAAUUAGGAAGACUAAACAUGAGCUAAUUAUAAAACUAAUUACACAGACAGACGGAGGCUAAUUCACGAGACGAAUCUAUUAAGCCUAAUUAAUCCAUCAUUAGCACAUGUUUACUGUAGCAUCACAUUGUCAAAUCAUGGAGUAAUUAGGCUUAAUAGAUUCAUCUCGUAAAUUAGCCUUCAUCUGUGCAAUUAAUUUUGUAAUUAAUCUAUAUUUAAUACUCCUAAUUAGUAUCUAAACAUUCAAUGUGAUAGGAAUUUUAGGAGGUUCUAAAGAACCAAACACCCCUUAGUCAGGCCACCAUACAUGGCGUGACUAGCUCCCAGCUUGCUAGCUUCUUCAGGUGCACAAAAAUUCAAUUUAUUUAGCCUUAUUUCCUCCUCUAUUUUAAUUACUAAUGACCUCCGAAAUUCUUCAAACUUAGCAGGUAUAAUAUAUAGAGUGUAUAUGUUUCAUUUUAAGUGUUUGCACUCCAAAAUAUGAUGUAGAAAAUGAAAGAUUCAAUUUCUAAAUAGGAUAAGUGUUAUUGACACUUUGCCUAUUAUACUAGUAGCUUGAUUCUCAAUUCUCAAGUACCAUGCAAUAAUGCAUAUGAGACCAUGAUUCUACUGCAUGGAUUUUCUAUAGGCCAAUUAAGCACCCGCAAGUGUUACUUCAAUAUAAGUUUGAUAAAAUUUAAAAUAGCUUGACUCCAAAUAAAUUUACGAUCUCUUUAUGUUUCAGGUUAGAGCCUAGAGGGAGUAUACAUUCAAAAUAAACAUAGAGUUCUACUUCUAGCACUUCAUUAGCAUGUGAAUAGAGCACGUGCCUUUGUGCGGAUUCAUAGUAAAUAUAGUACUAUUACUAAUGGAUAGUGCUGAGGAUCAAUUUGAGUACUCCAACCGAGAUGAAGAAGAACCAAAGAACCGUUUAGCCUCCUUUUCUUUUCUUUCAUUUCGUUUCCUAUGGACUGCGUGAAGCUCGAAGUAAACCCGCCCUAAGGCUAAUCCUAGUGGAUGGCGUGUAAAGGGGUGUUUGGUAACACAUAUUUAAGCAUCGGCGGUGCAAACUUAAAUAAUAACUCCUAUAUAUCCACUUUUAAGCAUCAAGUGCAAAUGAAUCAUUUUUUCUUUUGUUAAACACAUUUAUUAUACAUUUUUAGAUAAAAGGAAUAGUUUCCGGCUACUUCGAUUCUACACAAUCAAGUUAUUAUUACAUCAUUUUCAGCUCAGAAACUGAACCUUUAUUAUACACGGGUGAAGAAUGUGAUCGAGAAAGGCACGUCAGCGCAGGCAACCACCGUGGCAUUGUUGGCACGGAUUUUAGAGAGAGAUUUCCAAUACAGGCCGGUGUAUUUUCGAUAUUGAUUUUGGACACUACUGAGAACAAGAACUUGAUCCCGGACGAAAGUUACAGCGCGUUAUAUAAGUCGAACGCUACGAGAUGGCAAAAUGAAGAGCUAAGCGUGGUUCUAAGCUUACACUACGGGAAACAAGAAAUUCGCCGAGUGCCAGGGGCACUCGGCGAAGGGCGAAAUACACUCGGCGAGCCGUUUGCACUCGGCAAACGGCACACGGCAAACUUUGUGACGGCAAACAAGGAUUUACCGAGUGUUUUCUGUCGCGCACUCGGCAAAGACUUUGCUGAGUGGUCAGAAAACACUCGGCAUACAAUUGUUGAAAAAAAUAAAAAAAAACCUGUUCCGGCCGCCGGCCGCCGCCCGCCGCCGCCAGCCACCACCGCCAGCCACCACCGCCAGCCACCACCGCCAGCACCGCCACCGGCCGCCGCCGCCACCAUCCACACCCAGCCACCGGCCGCCCGCAGCACCACCACCGCCACCGGGAGGGGAAGGGCCGGAGGAGAGGGAGGGGAGGGGCGCCGCCCGCCGGAGGAGAGGGAGGGGAGGGGCGCCGCCCGCGCCGGAGAGGAAGGGGAGGGGCGCCGCCCACGCCGGAGAGGGAGGGGAGGGGUGCCGCCCGCGCCGGCGGAUCUGGAGGAGGGAGGCGGCGGCGCCGGAACCGGGGGAGGCGGUGGCCGCACCACCACCAUCCACACUGCCGCCGCCGCCACCAUCCACGCCGCCGCCACCGCCGCCGCCGGCCACCAUCCACGCCCGCUGGAUCCGGGGCCCCCGACGCGAGUCCCCGCCGGAUCCGGGGCUCCCGACGCGAGUCCCUGCCGGAUCCGACGAGGAGGGGCGGAUUCCCCGCCGGAUCCGGCCGGAUCUGGGGAGAGGGGCGCCCCACGCGAGGGAGGGAGGAGGGGAGAGGAGGGGGAGGGGCGCCGGUAGGAGAGGGAGAGGGAGAGGGAGGGAGGGCGGCGGCGGCGGCGGCGGGAGAGGAAGGUGGGGGAGGGGGGCGUCGGGAGAGGAAGGUGGGGGAGGGGGGCGUCGGUAGGAGAGGGAGAGGGAGAGGGAGAGGGAGGGAGGGCGGCGGCGGCGGCGGCGGUGGAGGAGGAGGGGGCCGGGGGGGGCGCUGGAGGGAGAGGGGGCCGGGGGGGGGGGGGCGCUGGAGGAGUUGGGGAGGCGGUCUGUCGCGGGGAGAGUUGGGGAGGCGGCGGCGUCGGUCUGUUUUGAGGGUGGGGGCGGUCUGUGCCGAGUGUCCUACGUGGACACUCGGUAAAGAGUUUCUUUGCCGAGUGUCCAACGUAGGACACUCGGCAAAUGUUUUUAAAAAAAAAUUUAAAAAAUAUCCAACAGUUUCAAAAAAAUACCAAAUUUUCACACGAACCAAUAUAGGUUCUCUACUGACUAUACAAAAAGUUUUGUAGUCAAACCGAACUCGACCGUCACUUCGACUCUCAAUUUUAUCGAAUCCUUCUCAAAGUUACUAUUCUUCUUCUGAGAUGCUUCGGUUUGUAAUCAUCGUACAUGAUGAAAUGUGCAAAACCUUUUCAAUUUUUUUCCACAGCCUCCACGUAUUAUAUCAUCACAUCAUGACAAAUCUUAAGAUUUUCAGACUUUGAUUAUUUUUUUUACAAUUUAAAAAUACUACUGCCACACGUUCAUGGUCGUGUUUCCUGAACAAGAUGUUCGAAAUUUCUUUUUAUUUCAUGGGUCAGGUCUCAAAUUGGUCCAAAUAACAUGAAUAUCAUUUUUCUACUCAUUUUAUUCCAUAAUUUGAAUCACUUGCAAUUCAAAUUUGACUUAUACCAAAAAUUCCCUUGAAAUGCAAUUAAUUAAUUAAAUAUAGCAAAUAAAUUCAAAAAUAUACCAAAUUUUAACAUGGAGUACCACAUGUUGUAUGUGAGGAGUAGAAAAAAUUUCAUGGUGAAAAGAGAAAAAAAA
rnacentral:lncRNA from 1 species